GGGCAGCUGCAAUGGCGCUGUCGUGUACCCUUAACAGGUAUCUGCUCCUCAUGGCGCAGGAGCAUCUGGAGUUCCGCCUGCCGGAAAUAAAGUCUUUGCUUUUGCUUUUUGGAGGUCAGUUUGCCAGCAGUCAAGAAACUUAUGGAAAGUCACCAUUUUGGAUUCUUAGCAUUCCCUCUGAAGAUAUUGCAAGAAAUUUGAUGAAACGGACAGUGUGUGCCAAGUCUAUAUUUGAACUAUGGGGUCAUGGACAAUCUCCUGAGGAGCUGUACAGUUCUCUUAAAAACUACCCUGUGGAGAAGAUGGUUCCAUUUCUACAUUCGGACUCUACAUAUAAAAUAAAGAUUCACACUUUUAAUAAGACAUUGACACAAGAAGAGAAAAUCAAGCGAAUAGAUGCACUUGAAUUUCUGCCAUUUGAAGGAAAAGUGAAUUUAAAGAAACCGCAACAUGUAUUUUCUGUUUUGGAGGAUUAUGGUUUAGACCCAAACUGCAUCCCUGAGAAUCCACAUAAUAUUUAUUUUGGUAGAUGGAUUGCAGAUGGACAGAGAGAGCUUAUUGAGUCAUACAGUGUCAAAAAGAGACACUUUAUUGGAAAUACAAGUAUGGAUGCUGGUUUGUCAUUCAUUAUGGCUAACCAUGGAAAAGUGAAAGAAAAUGAUAUUGUCUUUGAUCCAUUUGUUGGAACAGGUGGCCUGCUGAUAGCAUGUGCUCAUUUUGGUGCAUAUGUGUAUGGGACAGACAUAGACUACAACACAGUUCAUGGCUUGGGAAAGGCUACUAGGAAAAACCAGAAGUGGAGAGGACCAGAUGAAAACAUUAGGGCCAAUCUUCGUCAAUAUGGUUUAGAGAAGUAUUACCUUGAUGUCCUGGUUUCAGAUGCAUCUAAACCUUCCUGGAGGAAGGGCACAUAUUUUGAUGCAAUCAUUACUGAUCCUCCAUAUGGUAUCAGAGAAUCUACAAGAAGAACAGGUUCACAGAAGGAGAUACCAAAGGGGAUAGAAAAAUGGGAAAAAUGUCCAGAAAGCCAUGUUCCUGUUUCCUUGAGUUAUCAUCUGAGUGAUAUGUUUCUUGACCUGUUAAACUUCGCAGCUGAGACCCUCGUUUUAGGUGGAAGACUAGUCUAUUGGUUACCGGUGUAUACGCCAGAAUACACUGAAGAGAUGGUGCCUUGGCACCCUUGCCUGGAACUCGUUAGCAACUGCGAGCAGAAGCUUUCCAGUCACACAUCAAGGCGCUUGAUCACAAUGGAAAAGGUGAAGAAAUUUGAGAAUCGGGACCAGUAUUCACAUCUGCUAAGUGAUCAUUUUCUGCCAUACCAAGGUCAUAAUUCCUUCCGUGAGAAAUAUUUUAGUGGGGUAACAAAAAGAAUUGCCAAGGAAGAAAAAUCCACCCAGGAAUGAAAAUUAAGAUUUUGACAAUGAAGAAAGAAUAAGAAUUUGAUUUAAAAAGACAUCUGGAUGUGAACUUUCAUGUAUGAUCCAGAAAAUAGAGAUUGAAAAGGAAAGCAGUCAGACUCCUGAGUUGAUUUUUGAAACUGGAAUGAGAGAAGAAGUGGUUGUGGGUCUGGAAGAGCUGGGCACCUGCACCAGACUGGGUGUGGAGCCUGGUAGGUAGUUGGGACUUCAGAGGGGCCUGGCUGAGCAUGAGCCUGGCAGGUCUCAGCAGCCUGGGUGGAGUAUGCUGCCAAGGGAGUAGUGCUGCUGGCAGUUUUUCCCUCUUUCCAGAGACCAUGCCCACCGGUGACACUCUUUGCAUGCUUUGAGUUGAAAGUUAGGUGACUCUUCUCUUUAAUUUAUUUAAGUCUCCUAGGGUUCUCAGGAGAUGAUGCAGAGGAAGGAGACGUGGAGGACCAAGCCAGUAUGAGAUUCUUGAGUUGGUUUCAGUUAUAUUUGAUGAUAUAAGAGGAUCAUUUUUGCAUCCUGAGGGUGGUGAGAAUUUCCAUUUUAUAGAUUAGGAUUAAGGCACUAUGAGAUUAUGAUUUGCUGUGUCGUGUCUAGUCACAAUGCUGAGAUUUCAAUAGCUGGAACCAAAUAGCUUAGGCAGUCUCAUUUCUUAUUUCUCAUUUCUUAUUCCAUUAUUUUCCAUUAAAAAAUUAUUUUCCCCAUUUUUUAUUCUUAGCUCGUUAUUGUGUUAGGAGUCUUUCUUGUUGCAUGUGACAGAAACCCGACCUGAACAAGCUUGAGCAAGAAAAUUUGCUACAAGGAAUGUGCUGUAUGGAUUUGCUACAAGGAAUGUGCUGUCACAUACCCUGAGGACAGGAAUAUGGCUAAGCCUUAAGAAUAUCAUCCCAAUAAGCUGUGGCCAGGCUGAACUUGUGCUAUACAACAGCAGGCCCCAACCUUUUCGGCACCAGGGGCCAGUUUUGUGGAAGGUAAUUUUUCCACAGACAAGAGUCGGGGGAAUGGUUUUGGGAUGAUUCAAGUGCUUUACAUUUAUUGCACACUUUAUUUUUAUUAUUAUUACAUUGUAAUAUAUAAUGAAAUAAUUAUACAACCCACCAUAAUGUAGAAUCAGUGGGAGAUCUCAGCUUGUUUUUCUGCAACUAGACAGGUCUCCUGUGGGGGUGAUGUGAGACAGUGACAGAUCAUCAGGCAUUUGAUUCUCAUAAGGAGCAUGCAACCUAGAUGCCUUCUAUGCACGGUUCACAGUGGGGUUCACGCUUCCAUGAGAACCUAAUGCCACUGCUGAUCUGACAGGAGGUAGAGGUUACUCACAUUACUCAGGGGUAAUGUGAGCAGUGGGGAGCAGUUAUAAAUACAGAUGAAGCACACUGCUCACUUCCUGCUGUGCGGACUGGUUCCUAACAGGCCAAGGACAGGUACUGGUCUGUGGCCCAGGGGUAGAGAACCCUUGUUAUUCAACAUGGAGACUCCUACAAAGCUGAUGAAGUCUGGACUGGGAGGGAGAUAGUCGAGGGGGCAGUUCCCAGAAAAGACGUGCUCUUAGGCAGACAAGAAAUUGUUUACUACAAUUAAUAAUAACUUUGAAAUUAAUUAUAUAUAUUCCACUUGCAAAAUGAUUCAAUGAAGCUAAUAGUAAUACUAUUCUAUAUUUUAUAAGACUAUAUAUGUUACUUCAUAUUAAUCAGAAUCACAACUACCCAAUGCAGUAAAGCAUCAGGUGUAUCUGUUCCCAUUUUUAUAGAUGAUGAAACCAAUGUGCAGAGAGGUUAUGCAGUUUGCCCAAGGACACACAGCUGGUAAGUUGUAGAGAUGGAAUUCAAGCCUUUCCUCCACAUGCUCUUAUAGGCUUCAGUUCUUAAAAUAAAUCAACUCAGUUGUUCAGGUCUUUUUCACUUAUUUGAAGGAAACAACAUUCUGGAUUAAUUUUAAGUGAAAAUACCCUGGAGGCACACUGAAUUUUCAGACGUGGACAGCUGAUCAUCUGAGGAAGCUGCCGCAUUUCCAGUUCUCUUUUGGUUGAGAGAAAGGCCAUUCUUCAUGCUCUUCUGUUCUUUUGAUUUCCUAUUGGCAUCUCCGUUUCCCUCCAUACCUUUCAACAUUCAAGCCAGAUGCCAAUUGUCUGUGUGAAAACACACUGCAUCUCAAAUAUACCAAGAUGCCUUAAUAUUUGACCAUAUGUGAAUAUUCCAGUAAACUCCUGGGACUUAUGUUCCAGUGUCAGUGCUGAACAACAGGAAGACUGUAAAUACCAUCAGCUAACCAGAAGACUCACAUAUGCCUCAUGUUUAUAAAUGCCGAUAGAUGUAGUGCGUUCUAAAUUUGAAUUUUUGGUGCAAGAGAGGGGAUGGGUGCUCUCUCCAUGGAGGCAGUGCAGCUUGCAAACAUACAAAUGAAUGGGACCUCCUCAGGUUGCUGCUGAUCAUGGCAAUCAGUUAUUGUGGAGAGACUUGCAAACAAGGAACAUCUCUUGAGAUGAACUCUGAAAGAAAAGAAGAAAAGAAUGUGUCCAUGGUAGCCAACCCUAUAUUAAAUAAAGUUUGAACUAACUAUAUUAACUGGGCCAGAAAAAUUCGCCUGAAGCUGGACAGGGUGGGAUUAAAUUCCAAGACCUUAAGCAAAACACUUCAAAGGACAUAGGAUGAAUUUUGAGCAAUAUCUUUAUCUUUGCCACCCACCGCAGUCCCCAGCCUCCUGCGAUGCUGGCCUCGUCGUUGAAAAAACACAAAAGCAAACCACUUCAGGAGGAUUUACUAGAUGCCAAGCUUUGUUUUGGACCUGGUGAGAGUUAAGAAGAUGAAAUAAACAAGCCCUUUGUUCUCAAGUUGCCCAGUGAUUUAGUAUGAGAAUCUUUAUUGUCGUAAAAGUGCCUAACAAUGCUAGGCAGGAAGGCAGGAAGCAGGAACUGAGGGCAAUGUGUCCUUGGAAUGGCCCAGAGAAGAGGCUGAGACUCUUACCUUGACUCUGAGCUGACUUAAAGGGUCUGGUAUAAUGGCAGUUCUUUUACUGAACUGCACUCUCUUCUAGUAAGUAUAAAAAAGUUCUACUGGCAAUAAUAAUAGCAAACAUGUAUCAGGUUCUUACUGUGCUAAGCACUUUAAUUCUGUUAUUGGACUUUCAAAACAACUUACUGAGGAUGAUACCAUUACUUUUCCUGUAUUACAGCAGAGGGAACUGAGGUUUAGAGAGAGAAAAUAAUUUGCCAAAGUCAUAUAAUUGUUGUCUUAUAUAAUUGUUCAUCCCAUAGAGAAUGGCAUUUUCAUUUCUACAGAGAUCAGAGUGUGUUGUUUUCUAUUUCCUGUCUCAAAUGUGUUACUCCUCAUCUCUGCCAAAGCAGGCUCUAUUUAUCCUGCAAGAACUGUGGAACCUCCUCGACUUCCAUCGUAAACUCUUCCUGGGACCCAGUGACUUCUCUUCCCACAGCAUACUUGGAGAAUUUAUGCCUGCCUCAUGUAUUUGGCAAUUGAUCAUAAAUGGUCCUACGCUAAUUCUCAUUUGUCAUAUGAUAUUGUUUAAUUUUGUUUAAUCUUUCCAUCCAGAUUGUAAACUCCUUCUUGUUUCUGGCUGUGUCUAAAGGAUUAAAAGUGAGUCUUUUAUACUAUUCACCACAAUGCACAAUUGAGUUGUCUUUGUAUUUAUUUGAGUUAAAGUUGUAUAGGUUAUAUAUUGCUGCUUAACAAAUUUCCACAGACAUAGUGGCUUAAAACAACACACAUAUAUUUCUGUAAUUACAAUUCUGUAGGUCAGGUGUUGGGCAUGUCUUAACUGGUCCUCUUCAAAGUUGCAAUCAACGUGUUAGUUGAGGCUCAGUUCUCAUCUGGAGGCUCAAGUGGAGAUGGUUCUGCUUCCAAACUCACUUAGGUUGUUGGCAAAAGUCAUUUCCUUGUGGUUGUAAGACUGAGGGCUCCAGCUUCUUGCUAGCUAUCAGAUUAAGCCUUUCUCAGCAAUUAUUGGCUGCCCCUUCCACCCCAGGUCCAUGCUACAAGGUUGUCUCUCAUAUGCCUUUUUACAAAAUGGCAAUUUUCUUCUUCAAGACAGCUACUGAGAGAGAGUCUUUGGAGCAAAUUUGCUGGUAAGAUGGAGUCUUACAUAACAUAAUGUCAUAAUGAGAGUGACUUCCUAUCUCCUUUGCUAUAUUCUGUUGAUUGGAAGCAAGUCACAAGUCUUACCUAAUCUGAAGGAGAUGGGGUUAUACAAGGGCAUGAACAACAAGAAUCUGGGGUCAUGGGGGGACCACCUUGGAGCCUAUCCACCACAGAAAUGAAAGAAGCAAGAAAUGUACAAAGAUUUGAGACAAUUAUAUUUCACUUAGGAAAUUAAAAAUAGCACUUACAAAUUUAGAAAACUGAUUCUGAUCUCCUUGUUUCAACUACUAAAUAAUCACCAUCAAAAUUUGAAUAAUCUUGGCUAAACAGCAGGUUUGGCUUGUGGAGAUGGAGCCCAGGAGAUAAAGCAUCAACUAGGAGGUGUGUAUUGAGGGAGAUAACUUGCUAUGAAUAGUCGCCGUUCAAAGUGAUGUAGUCAACUCAAGCUUUACUCUUGCCGGAGCUGAGAUACAAGGCCAACUAGUCAGGAGUGGGUGGCAAGAAACUGGGUGUACUAGGACUGGGGUUCAGUAAGCCUUUCAGAGAGAGAAACUGGAAAGUCCAGGUAGUUGGUCAAGAACCCAACCUGGAGGAACAGGAAUAUAGCCUCUUGAAGGAUUCAGUCACUAUCAGGAAGCUGAGGUUGAGCCACAGCUGUGAAGAAUGGAUGGACCAACAUACAGGUGGGCCCAGUUAAUGUAGGAUUGUGGCUCAGUGGGCCUGUCCCCAUUUAUAGGACUAUCAUUUGGCUGCACCUGUGGACAGAGGGGAAGCUCUUAAUGUUCUCCUUGUAGAAGACCUCACUGAAGGAAGGGUCUAAGAAUUAUUGCAUGACAUUUAGGUUCUAAUUCCAUAUAGGUCAAAUUUGCAGGAAGCAGUACAUAUUUACAUUUUGUUUUUUCCUAAAUAUGAGACACAUUUACUUAUUUAUAAGAUUUCAUUUUUAUGCCUUCCUUUCUCUUCUUCUCCCAUUGUUUAAAGACCUUAAUCUUCAUGAAAACCCUUAGAUUUCUAUCGAGUUCUUCUUUUUUCAUUGAAACCUAAUGAUAAAGAUAUUAUCCUAUUGAUGGGACAAAUUGGAUCAGAUAUGCUUUUCUGCAUAUUGCUUAUUUGUCAUACACCUUCCUAUGCCUUUUUAAAUAAUACAUGUUUUAUGGGGCCUUUCUCCUGUGACUCAUUUUUGGAGCUGAUCCGAUAAGGAGUUAUUCUCCAGACGUGGCACCACUGACCCUCAUUUCAAACUACAUUUUUAAUUUAUUUUAAAAAAGAUAUUUCAUUCACAGAAUCCCCACUGAGCUUUUUAUUGUGAAAAAUUAGGACCCGUAAAUCAUCCCCCUCAGAACAUUAUAAAUUUUAUACAAUUGAAACAUUCCAUGGACUGAGCUUGGCACUUUGAUGAAAUCACUCCUUUGCUUCUCUUAAUUUAUGAGCUUUCUUCAUUCUCCUCCCUCCUGCUCCAUCAUCACCUUGCCCUCCCAGCAAGAGACGGGGUGGUAUCAUGCCUUUAAAUUGCUCACUGGGGUUUAUUGAGUGUAAUUUGUGAGUGAAUUUAUAUGAACCUACAAUAUUGCAAUUUAUCCAAAAUUAUGAACAAUAAAACUUUUCAUUUUUCUGGCAGUCAGAAGGGACGUGGGUUGAUCACGCAGGAGGUAGCUCAACAUGGUGCACUGGGGAAGAACCAAGUACCUGGAAGCCAGAUGAUGCGGGGUAGAGGCACAGCUCCCCCAGUUGUUCGGAGACGGAGGCCUCGGUUUCCUCAGAGCAUGCAUGAUCUUUAAGAUUGUUUUUUUUUUUUAGCUCUCAUGCAUUUUGAUUCUAUGGAUUGAGAUGGUUUUUGCCUUGUUGCUUCUUUUUAAAGGGUAAUUAUGAAAACCAACAUGAUGUAUCUUAAAAGUUUGAUUUUCAAUAUGGAGAGUUAGCUUUCAUUUUUUAGGGGAAAGAAGGUAUGAGAGUAAGGGGAAAGCACAACCAUGUAAAAGAGCAAAGUACUCCUGAUUCUUGUCUGUGAGGUUUGCACUGGAUUAUAAGGUCCUUGAAACCAGGGGCUGUGUAUUUAACUUUGAGGCCCUGGCUCCCAGUACAGAGAAACUGAUACCUGGGUUUCUGAUAAAAGUGUUGAAUUAAUAUGGAAAAAUCCAAAGUCGGGUUACUCCCACAAAUCCAAAUGCCUGGAAUAGUGCCAGACCCACGGAAGGUGCUCAAUACAUAAUUGUUUGAUAUCCAACAGAUGGGCUACUGGCCAUAAUUGGGAUCUUGGUGUUUCCGUUUCCACUCCUGGUCCAUGUGACAUCCUUAUUUUUUAUAUCUUAAUGUUUUUUUGACUAGGAUUCCAGUUGGAUUUUUUUUUUUUUUGAUUGAGUCUCAUUCUGUCACCCAGGCUGGAGUGCAGUGGUAUGAUCUCAGCUCACUGCAACCUCUGCCUCCUGGGUUCAAGUGAUUCUCCUGCCUCAGCCUCCCAAGUAGCUGGGAUUACAGGCGCCUGCCACCAUGCCUGGCUAAUAUUUUGUAUUUUUAGUAGAGACAGGGUUUCACCAUAUUGGCCAGGCUGGUUUCGAACUCCUGGCCUCAAGUGAUCUGCCUGCCUCGGCCUCCCAAAGUGCUAGGAUUACAGGAGUGAGUCACCACACCCAGCCUCCAGAUGGAUCUUUUAAGAAAUUGCUAGCUUUUUGGCCUCACUACUUCUCGCGCUGUUGGAAAGGGUUUUGCUGCUGCAGAAAUAGGCUAGAAUUCGAAGAUAGAUGUUGUAUGGCAAAGUGGCUGAGCUUCAGCUCUGGAGAGAGACUUGGGUUUGAAUGCGGCCUCUAUAACAUAAGCUCUGUGACCUUUGGUGGAAUAUUUUCCUCCUGCUAAGCUCUACUUUACUUCUCUGUAGAAUGGGGGAUAAUAAUUAUACUUAUUUCUUAGGGUAGAAGUGAGGACUCAAAGCAGCUAUCCAUAUAAAGAGCUUAGCCCAGGGCUGGCAUAUAUUAAGUAUUCAAUACAUGUUACCUAUGACUUGAAUUUAAUUAUUAUUAGGAGUAUUGGUGUAUACAUCAGUAAUUGCCACAGUUUUUACUUUUGCAUUAAAAUUCAGAUUCUGGCCACUGCACUCCAGCAUGCGUAACAGAGAGUGACCUCUCUCUCUCAAAAAAAAAAAAAAAAAAAAUCAGACUCUGUGGGGACACUAUGAUUAUUGUCCUAUAUACAAUUUAUUUAGUUAACAACUUUUUCUUUAGCUUUUCAGGAUAUAUUUUGAGAUCCUUGUGUUAAAAGAAAAGAGUAUCACUAAUAUUAUUAACAGAACCUCACCAUUUUGGAUAGAGAGCGUUGCUUGGAUUUCUAAUUACUUCUAAGUGUAGUUUUAUUUAAUUUCAGUCCUUUAGAAAAAAAAUGAGAAUAUAGUGCUGAAGCAUCUGGUAUUUAUGUUUUUUCACAAGAUGGAAAAUUUCCUUCCUGACAGUUGUUGGUUAUGACUUUGCCUAUGUGCAAUUAUAAUACAGCACACUACUGUUUUAAGAAGAGUAUCAUUAGCGUCAGAAUGCAAAACAGUCUGAAAUACUCGAAAAUCAAGCUGAAGCCAAUUCCCUUUUCUUUGACCUGCUUGCAGGAUACCCUGACAAGGUAUGAACUGGAGUAUGUGUCUUGGAACUAUUUACCCCUUAAAUAUGAAAAAUGUAAAUAAGCGAUGGAGUUUGGGGUGACAGAGGAUCUAAAGUGAUGGCCACCCAGCCCUUGCGAGUAAAAUAUGGCUCACUUAAAGACAUUUCAGUCCUAAAUCAUGCACAGCAGGCGAGUUUGUGGGCUGAGCGGCUUGCACAAAAACAUUCCUUUGGGACCAUUUAAAAAGGCUGAAUAAGCAAGGAAUCCUGUGUGACAAUGCUCAGAAUACCAAAGGAGCGGUUCAGGUAUACAUAUUAUUGCCCGUGGCUCGAAGCCCAAUAACCUUUUCCUUAUUGAGAUAGAUUCCCUGGACAGAAAACAAAUCCUUUCCAAGUUAGAGAACUUUAUCAGAUUUAUUUCUCAUUGUCAGGUCAGCAUGCAGGAAACAAAUGAAGUCUGUCGCGUGAUUCAUAUUAGAAGGAGAGCAAUUUAUAGUGCUCACUGGCUUCUCACAAACCUUAUUAAUGUUUGGCAUAGGGUGCCAAGGAAUCAUAAAGAAUCAUCCUGUUGAGCAUUUAUAUCUGCUUAGUCUCUGAUUAUAUGUCCUCGACACAGCUUAAAUAAUGGCAGACAGAGCAUCUCGUGAGCAGGAAAUGAGAAAGUAACACAUGUUUUUGUCUCAUAUUCAAAUAUUCUUCCCUAUCUUUUUAAAGUCUUCCCCUGGGAGGCAAAGAACUGUUUUUAGGUUUCAUUUUUCCUUAAGCUGUUGCUGCUCUUGCCUGUAAUUUCCACUUUGUUUAGAUUUGUCACAGCCCUAAAAUGGAAUUAAGUUGCUUAUUUAUGCUCAUGUCUUUUGUUAUUUUGAAUUUGGGGCAUUUCUUACUUCAGUCAUGGCUAUAUAGUUGCUCCACUUCACAUUCCCUUUUGAAUUCUAGCCCCUUGUGCCUUUGUGAUGUGAACUCAUUAAGGAUAGUGCCAACUUAUUUAUGAAGUUCUUAACAUAUUUGACCUAAUAAUACUAAUAGAUGGCAUUUGUUCAAUGCCACCUAUGUGGCACAUAAAAUAUAAAUGUAUGUGCCAGGCACCUUACAUUUAUACUUUAUGUAAUCAUCAUAACAACCUCAUGAGGUAAGUAGUAUUAUCACACUCAUUUUAGAGAUCAGUUACCCUGGGAUACAGUGCUACUAAACAGAAGAGCUGGAAAUUGCACCCCAACAAUCCACUCUUCACUGAGCUGCACUCCUUCUCUAGAACAUUAAUUUAUAGUUCAUUGAAUGUGGUGCUCUAGAAAACAUGAGCAUAACAAAGAGAGAAGAGAGGAGGAAAAUGGGAAGAAAUAAGGUUAAAUGUAGAAAGAUGGACAGCAUGACAUUCUACCAGCAAUUGAUCUGAGGGACUAUUAGUUGUACAACUGGCUCUUGAAUUUAAUUGGCUUCUCAGGUGCCUUGCUAAUGGCUAGUGAUGUGGAUGGGUCAUUUGACCCUUCUGAUACCUGAAAAGGACACUCUUCUACUAUAUGGAAUUAAUCGUUUGGUAAUUUUUUAUUUUGAAAUAAUUUUAGACUCUCCAAAAAGUUACGAGUACAGGGAACUUCCAUAUCCCUCCAACUAUAAUAUCCUAAUUGUUAAUGUUUUACCACAUUUAUUUUUAUAAUUUUCUCUCUAUAUAGACACUUAUUAUUUUAUGAAUCAUUUGAGAAUAAGUUGCAUGCUCAAAUACUUUGGUGUGUGUUUUCUAAGAAAAAGUAAAUUCUCAUAUACCCACAUUAUAAUUAUUGCAAUCAGAAAACUAAUACUGAUUCAAUGCUAACAUCUAAAGUACAAACUUGUAUUUCACCAGUUGUCCCAAUGAAAAGGUUUUGGGAGGGGAUGUUCAGGGACCAAUCAAAUUACAUGUUGCAGUUAGUUGUCUCUUUAGUCUCUUUUAGUCUGGAACAGUUUCUCUUUGUGAUUUUUCAUUUUGACAUUUUUAGAAAGGGUAUAUAGGUCAACUGUCUUUCAGACUGUCUCUCAAUUUGAGUUUGCCUGAUGCUUCCUCAUGAUUGCACCGAAGUUACACCCUUUGGGCAGGAAUGACACUGAAGUGAUGCUAUGUUCUCAGUGCAUCAUACCAGGAUGCACCUCAUGCUAAUUUGUCCAGCUAUUGGUGAUGUUAACAGAUUGCUCUAAUGUAAGGCUACAAUUUUUCAAUGUACUAAAGUUAAAAUUUGAUUUAGAUUCUAAUUUCCUCAGAAUUGGGUUCAAAUCAAGUCCAUUGCUUAAGAAGCUUUGGGUAUUCUGAAAAAGCUAACUUCCUGAUCUGUAAGUAUCAGGAUCAGUCAUGGAAAGUGGUGCCUGGCACAUACAUUUAUAUUUUAUGUGCCACAUAGGUGGCAUUGAACAAAUGUCAUCUAUUAGUAUUAUUAGGUCAAAUAUGUUGAGAACCUCAUGUAAGUAUUGCUUAAUGUCUUGGGACAUUAAGCAGACACAGGAACUUGGUACUCUAACUCCAGGGAACAAACCAGAAAAUGGCAGAAUUAUUGUACAAGACCAGGUCUGGGUUGGCACCAAGCAUGACUUGAAGAAGGCACCAAGGAUGGGGCUAGAAAGCUAGUUAAACUUUUAGCCUCAAAUCUGGCUGGGUCUGAGAGACUGAGGAAGAGAAUCAGAAGAUUUCAGCUGGCGGAGAAGCAGGGCACAGUGUGUGGACUGAGCUUGAUGGCAUGAUCAGCUGAUGCUGCUAAAGACCUGAGACUCUUAAUCAGCAACUGUGCAAUCAGCAAUAGCAGUUGUACCCACCUUAUCUGCUAUGGAGGCAUUAUUAUUGGCUUUUUUGGGGGGCAUUUAAUGAAAAUUUCUUGCUUUCAAGGUUAUUCUUCAACUAUACAUCACUUGGGCAGUGCUGAGAAACACAUAGGAUGAUUUGGCCUGGGCUCCAUAUCCUUCCCAGGAAUAUCUUAAGACUGAGAAAUAUGGUCUCUUUUCCAUACCUCCAAGUUGCUUUUACAUGGAUGAAGAGAAUCAGAAUGCUCAGUGAAAUAUGUAUUCAAAAAGAAAUGUACCAGAAUAAAAUUACAUUAGAAAAUAAUUGCUUCUAAAAAUCAUCACCCAUUCUUACCCUCUGUUAUUCUGUUCUCUUUCAACUGUCUGUAUUUUAAUCCCUUUCUUCUUCCCUGAUGUUUUCUAUUCAUUUAAUUUAAGCAAUGUUUCUGGAUACCAUAGCAAUAGCAAUGAGGUGUUGUAUAAACGUACAAUGGAGCAGAAUGGAAAUGCUUCCUAUGGUAACAGAAACCAUAGAAACAUGUGCGUGUGUGUGUGUGCAUGUGCGUGCACACACACGUGCAUACAAAGCUGUUUUGGGGUCAAAGCUUUGUAGAGUUCAUGCAACUAGGAAAAUGAAGUGUUUCACUGUGAUCACAUUGCUAUUUGUAUCUAUUGUCAUCAUGAUUUAACAUUUAUUGCAUGCCUAUAGUCCCCUGGACAGACCCUGGAACUAGAUGUCAACUCUACUUAGUGGAUUUAUGUUUGAAAUUAGAUAGCAAAGCCACAAAAUGGAAAAAGAUGAGAAUACUUCCAAAACAGAAAUAUUGAAUAAUGCAUUUUCAGAAAAAUUAGGUAAGGAGAAAAUGAGUUUGACCCAGGCAGUUAGGAAUGAAGGAUAUGGGAGGAGACUUAAAUGUCUAGAUUAGAGAUGGUUUGCAGCCAUUUCCAAGAACCCUGGGAGGGACUGCUUGUGCUGCAUGAUCUAACACUUUAAUCCUCUUCUGCCAUGGCUCAGACCCCAUGGGGUGGAAUCUUGAUGAGGAGACUCCCUGUCUUGGAUAAUAAUAACAAGCUGUCUUCUCUGUAGGCAAAUUUUCAGGUGGAAGUCUCACUCUACCACUCUCAUAACCAAUGCAACAAAUAAUCAAGUUCUCAAGCUGCAAGGAAAACUGAGGGGAUUAUUUUUAAGGAUGUAAAGAACAUUAAACAAUGAAGAGAUAGUUUCUCAGAGUAAGUUUUUUCCCUCCUUUGCCAGGUGCCUGAUAUCAUCUUUCUUGUCUACCUUAGACACCCCCCACACUUUUUAAUAUUAAAAGUCUCUUAAUAACAAAAGUAAACAGCAUGUUAUUUAUGGAAACUGCACAACAUUAGCUUUGCUAAUUACAUGGUUACUCACUUUCCCAGCACCAGAUCACCUCUUAUUUGUUUCCAACUACUGUGGCCACCAUGUGUUUUAAGUGUAAGACAGAAAUAAUAAACUGCAGGUUUCCAGGGUACUCACGUAUUAUUUCUGCAGUUCACACAGGACAUGUACCAUCUGGGUUUGAAGGGCACAUCAUUCCAAGGCGGAAUGGAGUGAGUAGGGCUUUCCCAGUAGAGCCACUGACUCUAUGGGGAAAUUUCAAAUGGAGUUUUGGGGUCAGAGAGACCUAAGUUCAGAUGCCUGGCACAAUAACUUCCCACUUACAUGAAAUCUUCUUUGCCUUCUCUGUAAGUAACUUCUCUGCCUCUUGGCUUACUGUAUAUAAAUUGGGUAUAUGAUGCCUAAUUUCUAGUGUGGCUCUGAAUCUUAAAUGAGGUGAUACAAUAUGGCACUUGCCGUAAGGUAAGUUAUUACUGAAUGAUGGUCUUAGUUUCUUUCUACUCCAUUUCUGUCUCUUCUAAACUCCUAAGAACUAAGCUGAGAAGGCAUAAAAGAUGACACACAGACCAUUCAGCUCAAAAUCCAGAAUAAGAAGCCCAAACUGGAGUAUAUUCUGCAGAAGAUUUGCUGUCUUAAGGGAGCUACUAUUAGCUCAGCUUUAACCCUCCUUCCCAUCUCUUUCUGGUUAGUGAACUGGUGCCACCACCUGCCCAUUAGAGAACCUGAGCUAUUUGUUCAGUGAUUCACGUCUCUGGAUUCAGCACUGAGCCUGCAUAAACUCCCAACUCAGUCAGCAACACUGUGCUAACAUCUACUAGGAAUGGUUCAGUCCCUGUAGAUCUGAGAAAUAAUUCCUGUGGUUACAUCAACUGUUUGGAUCUUUGGAUCCAUAAAUUAUUUCUGUCUUUUCUUUUUUGAAGGGUUUUCUAUUUGAAUGCUGUUUUAUCUCAAAAGGCAGUUGGUUCCAUUCUGACAUGGUAGAGAUAUGAAGCUUCCUUCAACUGACACAGUUUGGCUAGAUGCCAGUCAGGAGUACCUCCAAGAUAUUUUGGCUGUAGGAUAAGUUACAGAUAGCCUGGCCUUGCCAUCUGCAAUGAUCGGUUGUAGUAAUAACAAUCUCUGGGUGCACAAUUAACCAAUUCUGAAAAUGUGAAACUUAUUAAUUAUCCUGCAUUUUUGCUUGGCUGCUAGCUAACUCUGUCUAGAUCCUGUUUCUUGGCAUUCUCUCAUCUGUCAUUUCUACCACAAAUCCCCUACAGAUCGUUAGUUGCCUAUGUUCCUCUACUUCAUUGUCUUUCUUUCAGUCAUUGACUGUUACUGAGAUUUUUUUUUUCAUGAAAUCAGAGUUUUAGUAUUCUUUUUUUAUUAUAGGGAAAAGAAACCAAGUCUCCUUGAAUCAGUUUAUCCCAAUGUCUUCUGGUUUUCUAUGUUGGCUACAGUCAAGAUAACCUAUUACUAAGGUAGGUUGUGUGUUUCUAGACCACCAAAUCUGUUCAAUAGACCUUUUUGCAUCUGAGUGGACAGGUCCUAGAUGACACUGGAGACAUAGAGGUGAACUCCCUCCCUGGCCUUCAGGUACUCACAUUGCAUUUGGGAACCUAGGCAUUAAGCAAACAACCAUGAUACAAUGUGCUAAGUGCUAUCACUAAAGUAUAAACAAAGUGGUUUGAGGGGCGUUAUGUUCCCCCAUAUUGACCUGAAGCUGUAGUAUUUUGACUGCUUCUAGAGUACCUGUAUGUCUCUGCAUGUCCAGGCAGUCUGAUUUAUUAACAGGGCCCUCUUUUAAUCUUGGAGUCUCUAUGUGGAUGAUAAACUGUAUGGUCUUUCUAUUUAUAAAUCAAAAACCAAUAUAGGAGGCUAGUUUAAUUUGUGAGCAAAUAUGUUUCUAUUUAUUAAGAAUUCUUGAGUUGCCUGCCUCUACAUUAGUGGUUGAGGCAGUGGAGUGAGUUCCUGAUCUGACUCACCUUUCUCACCAACAGUGAUACUUGUACUUUAGCAUAUACAUGAGAGACUGAGUUGAUUCUAUAGCCUAACUGGAAUUUAUUCAUUCCUUCAUCCAUCUACUCAAUGAAUCAAUUCUACAUUUACUGAGCACUGAUUGUGUGUCAGCCAAUCUACUAGGCACGUGGGAUACAGUGAUGAUCUAUAUAGAUAUAUCUCUGCCCCCACAGAACUUACAGAGUGGAGCCUCAAAAAGUGAUUUCAAUUUUAUCCAUCUGCUUUGUGUCUUCUCUUUAAAUCCUUGCUACCCAAAGUAGGCUCUCAAUAUUAGCAGCAUCAGUGUCACCCAGAAGCUUGUUAGAAAUGGAGAACUUAGGCCCACCUCACACCUAUUGAAUCUGAAUCUGCAGUUUCAAAAGAUCCUCAAUAAUCUGAGCAGAUUCUGAUUCAGUUGGUCUAGGGUCUUCACUUCUGACAAACUCGCAGGCAAUGUCAAUGCUGUUGGUCCAUGGAUCGCACUUUAAGGGACUUCCCCAGUUCUUUACAAAAUGUGGGUUGCAACCCAAUAGUGGGUCAUGAAAUCAAUAUAGUGAGUUGUAACUAGCACAUUCAAAAAUAUUUUAAAAUAGGAUAGAGUACACAAACAAUUCAGAGUGCAUUUCAUGUCAUGAUGAAGGCAUUGUUGCAUGAAACUUGAAUCAGCUUUUUGUACAUCUGCACACAGACACAAACACAGAUGUAUGUAGACUGAGUUCUGAUGAAAACGUAUUUCUUAAUACGGGUCGCAGCUGAUAACAGUUUGAAAGUUAUUGUUCUAGACAAGCUUAUCUAGGCCAGAAAGAAGUCCUCAGAAGUGAUUCCAGUCUAGAACAGAGAGCUCAGAUCAAAGGGGUUCUGUUAAUAUUAGAACUAUCCAGAAUCCCAGUGAGGACAUCCAGGAAAAAGUAGAACAGUGGGGCUAGAAAGAUCCUCUACUAGGGGUGACAGCUGUGUGCUGAUUGGAUGAUGAGAUGCCCAUGAUUAGUGGCUUGUACCAGUUGGCAUUAGGUUUUUGCAUGACCCAAGAUUUUGGACUGUGAGCUCCUUGAAGGUGGGACCUGUAUGUUACUCCUAGAGGCUAAAACAGUGCCUUUCCCGCAGGGGGAGUUUCCGCAGUGUACUGUGACUUUUUAUAUCUUUCAUACUACUCAAUAUACCACAUGUAACAAAUGAGGUCUUUUCUGUCUUUCCACUGGGAAUCAUGUAUUAUUCAUCUUUGCUUUUUUCUAGGGCCUACUCCAAUAUCUAGAGAUGGCAGAUAUUCAGUAAGUUUAUUCACUUAACAAAUAUUUUAUUUGUUAUUCAGCAAAGAAGAUUUUCUCUCAGCUAUAUUACAUCAGUUUUAGAAGGCACACAGAUGAACAGGCUUGAUAAAGAGCAAAUCUGUGAAAAACAAACACUUGUGGACUAAAUGGUAUCACAUUUACAGAGCUGUAAGAGAGGUAUAAGUCACCCUGGGCACCGAGUUUUAUGCUGUAUUGAUUAACUUUCCAUUUCCCUUGGUUCAAUUUUAGUUUCUCUCUUAGAAUUAUGUUUCUACCCUUUGCAUUCUCACCGCCAAUCAUUUAUUGCUGCACGUGUCUUUCCCCCUCCAUAUACUGUGCUCCUUAAUUCACUAAGGGACUGUACUAACAUAGCCUAAAUACCCACCUUCCAGCCACCCUUCAGGAGGGUAUUAGCUGUAUUUGUGCACAGCGAGAGUGCCUUCAAGGCAGAGGGCUUCCUCCCCUAUACUUCACCUCCAAAUCUCUUUCCUUUCCACAAAUGCUAGUGCUAGGCAGCUGUGCUCACUAUUAUUCGUCUUCUCUGUAGUUCUUGACUUUGCCUGUACGUUAUAAACACUUGGUAUUUUAAUAUUUCCCAUGUCCAGGUUGCAGUUCAAACCAAUGAAGUCAGAAUCUCUGGAGGUGGGACAAAGGUAUUUGUAGUUUUUAGGCUUCUCAGAUGAUUCCAAUGUGCAGUGAAGAUUGAAUGCUAUUGCUUAGAGGAAAAUUCAGUCACCUGAUAUUUGAAGUUUAGGUAAUUUCCUUAGCCCUCAAAAUAUGUUCAUUUCUUUUCUAGUCCUUAGUAUCCCUGCCCAAGUCUGAAAAUAUUUAUAUUGCUAUUUAAUCAGAAGUAAAGCAAUUAAAAUGUACAUGUUACUCAAGAAGAAGAAACAUUAGAACAUUGCUCAACUUAUCACCUGUGUGGUUAUUAAGCUAUUGUCUCUAUUUCAAAAGCACCUUUCUGUAUUCUACUUUGUGACUCUGGGUUUUUUUCACCAUCUAGCUCUUAGGUGGCACUAGAAGAGGACCACAAGCCUGCCAGAGGGAGGAGAGUAUUGCUUCUUCCUGUUCCCAUUAGUGUCACCUCAGCAGUGACUUUUCACCCUGGAGUGGCAGGCAAGUUUCUAGAUUAUUUGAGUACUCCCCAAAUCAGUCUUGCUGCACCCCCUGAGAGAUACCAGCAGCAAUGAAGUGUGAGUCCCAGCUCUGGGCUCCCCCCUCCAAGAUUCUGGGUUUUCGUAAUCCCUUGUGCUUAUUAAUGCUGUUACCUUAGGGUCCUUUUUUUUUUUUUUUUUAAUUUUCAAUGCUUGUCCAGCAAGUUUCCUAUACUAAAUUGCUAUAUGGAAACAUCUAUUCUUCUCUCCUUUGACUGUACCUAACUCAAAAUGCCUUCUCAUUUAACAACCAGUGCUCUGCAACAAGGUGAGCUUUCUAGGAAGGCAAAUAACAAGAAGGCUCAGGUUGGCUUGUCUCCAUUUUGGGGCAAUGGGAGUGUGCUGGAAGUCUUCCAAGGAACAAGAGUGAGAAGAAGAUGCUAGAAUGAAGAGGUGGACAGACAUAGGGGAGGAAAGCGCACUGGAUACAAACUUUAUUACCUUCAUUAUUUUGCUAGGUCUGUCUUAGCUGAGAGACUCUGAGAGUAUUAAUCAGAGAUAAAUGGGAAGUAAGUAAUAGUCUAUAGUAAUCCAUAGUGGCAUUUAUUAAUAAUACAAAUCUUCUGGCCUCCAUCUCUUCUUCUUCCCAUAAGCCCACAGUUUGUCCACACAUAAGCAUAUGUGGUUUUGUCCUUAAUAAUAGGGUAGUGCAAAUAGUUAAUUCACUACUCCUAGUGCCACGAGUGGCACGUUGGAGACCAUCCUGUCUGUUCUUAUGUAACCUGUCAUAAAUCCACGUGGAUAUGUAUCUCAUUAAGACAGCCAUUUAGGAUUUGCUUUUUCAGAAUUGUCUACUUUGGUCAGUAGUAUUUUAACUGUAAAAUAAGGAUGGUUUCACUUGGUCCAAGUGUCCCUACUGUACCUAAUACAUUUAACUUUACAAACAGUUUUAUACAAGCAAUACAUUAACCAAUGAGCUGUAAUGAGUAGAAUUUGGAUGUUCAUGAGGGAGAUUUAAAUUCACACACCAUUUUCCUAGACUCCUUCACUGUCUUGACACUUUCCUAUUAUUAGCUCUCUUUUUGGAGAUAUUUUGUGUUAAAAUUCCAAAAAGUUCUCAGUCACCAUCUGAGAAUUUUUGCGUAUACAACAAUGUAAAGAAAAACUAGGCCUUGCUAAGAUGAAGUACCCAGGAUCAACUGGUAGCCUAGGAGUUUGACUAUGGUCCACGAUUCAAAUUGGUGGGCCAAACAAUAACAAAGGUGGACUUUUGGGGGUUACUUUUGUACAUUUGCUUUUUGUAUCCUCGCUAAAGAGGUGAAGUAACUAGUAGCCAGUGUGUUGAGGGGAAAUUCACUACUGCCUGGAGGCUCUACUGUGUAUUCUACACCUCCUGGUCUCCAAUGAGAUCUUUAUUUCUUGUUUUGAAUACUUAUAUUAACUCCAGAAAAAAUUUAGUUCUAGAAUCUGGAUACUGAGCAACACUGCAGCUCUCUUUCUUAGUUCAAAUAGUCUCAUCUGCUUUUCUUUGAUGAAUCUUUUUCUUUGUAGGAUCUGUUUCUCUGUGGGAUCAACAUUUUCUCUCUGUGUGUCAGAAAGAAUGUCUUUUACCGUCCUUGACAGGGAGAGUCACUUUCUGUUGCAUGUGAGCAAUCAGAGCAAUCAUCCUUCUCUCACGUUGAAUGAGUAGGUCAAACAGUAUUAGUAAUAUUGCCUAGUUUACUCUAAUGUUGAUUAUAUUAGUUUUUUUGCAUUUUUUGUGAUCUAGAGCUUCAGUUGAACCUUUCAUUCUGACCAUGAUUAUUUAGUAAGACCACAGAUCCAUCCACUAACUUAAAGGAGAAUGAAUGACCAACUGUAACCCCGCCAUCUGAUUAGGAAAACAAGGAAACAAACAAAGGCAAUAAAGCCCUUCAAAAAUGUUUUUAACCAGAAAACACUGAAUAGUAGAAAUAUCACUGUAAAUGGAGUCAGGCGAUGUGGAUUCUAGUCAAAGCUCUACCACUUAUUAACUGCGUGACCAUAGAAUGUCGCUUAACCUCUCUGAACCUUAGUUUCCUAUUCCAUAAUGCAAAACGUAAGUUAUAAUAUGCGUUUUGUCCACCUUACAGACAAGGAUCUUUUACAGAGGCUGGAAAUUCCUCCAACUCGUCUGUUCAGGUUGACUUUCUGGAAAAGUGUUUUAUUCUCAGAGGAUUUGAUUAUUGAGUUAUCUUUCUAUUCUGCUGCUGUCAGUAGAUUUGCCAUAAAUGUUUCCUGAGAGUCUCUCUCUUGAAGAGAUUCAGGCCCCAGUUAAGUUCAUCCCAAUUAAAAAUAGAACCCUGAGAUGCAGCAGCUGUAGCACCUCUUAAACCUCUUCAAAUAACAUUGAACGAUUAAGUGGCUGCUACUGUGGAGAUAGUGCCCACAAAACCAGCAGCAGGCCCUCUCGGAAAAUGAUAACACUCUAAGUGGCUGUCAGUCCUUAGUCAUUUCUAGUCAUUCAGGGGAUGUUGCCUUAUCUUCUACAAGUUCUAAAAGUUCCUGGGAAGAGAAGAAUCACAUAAAUUCUUUAUUUAAAAAAAUCCCCCUUCCCACAGCAAAAUUCUCUAAAACAAUACUAAACAAGCAGGCAUGCGCAAUUCUAAUGAAGUCUAUCAUUUGAGUGGAAGAGAAUUGCUAUGGUUACCAAUGUUUCUGUCUGGCAGUUUUGGGAUAAAAGUCUGAUGAAGUGAUAUUGUCUGGAAAAUGAGCAUUGAUUCCUAGGGAGAUGGAAGAAUUUACUUUUUUUCUUCCUAUUUCUUGAAUACAUGGCUAGCUUUCAAAUAUAUGACUCAACAAUUACAUUCGGCUUGAAUGGAUUUUUUUCUGACAUUGUUUCUUAUUUUCUUCUGAUUUAUCAAGGAGAGUUUAAAAAUAAACUUUCCUUAUCCCAUCCAUAAUAGAAAUUUCAGCUAUUAAGAACUUACCAAGUGAAAAAUUAUAGAAAUCACUAAAGUUCAGAGGGAGAUCUCUUUAUUAUAUUUCAACAGCUAUUUGCUUUGGAGACAUUUCUUUUCCCCCUUUGUAAAGCUAAAUUGCAUAUAUCACUAUUUAUUAAUAAGCAGAAUGACAAUUAUUUAGGCUGCCAAAUCUCUUUUAUAAACAUUUCGUUAGCUAGGUAGGAUUUUUAUAUACUUUCCCAAAGGGCCAAGUUGACAGACAUGGGCUUUCACUUUAUUUCCAUAGAGAUCUGGAUCCAAAUCCCUGGGUCCAAAUAUAUGCCAUUCACUUCCCAUAUUUAGUCCUGUUAUCUCUCUGAAGACUGGCCCAAGAGAGGCCUUUCUGAUGAGACAUUUAGCACAGCGAUUAAUCACUAGAUAAACAUGUGAAUGGGUCCAUUUGCAAAGUGAAAGCUCCCUAAACAGAGGCUUGUCCUUUACAAAAAGAGCAGGUCCAAUUUUCCUUAAAAGUUCAUGGUUGCCUAUGUGGUGUGAUUUGAGAAAUCCUGAACCUUCUGUUCCCAUUACUUUCCCUGUUGAGCUCUACAUUUCAUAGUGUAUCACUCCUGUGGAUGAAACCUGGCCUCUCCAGGGCAGUUUCUCUAAUAAAUGGCCAUAGUCCUGGGAAAGGUCCUGAUGCCUUAGUGUGCAGUGUGCUUGACACCAUAAGAUCCUUUCUUCUUUGAUAAAAAAAAAAAAAAAAAAGACUAAGACAAGAAAACUGGUGGCUGUUGGGGAAAGGUGUGGAAAGAAUGAAAGAAGAAAACCGAUGCAUGGAAAGAUGGUAAAGUACCAAUGGACCGGUGUGAGUCAGGUUCUGAAUUUAGGAGUGAGGACUCAAAUAUGCCUGUUUACUGGGUUAGCUUUUGGAACGAUCCUAUGGAACAUAUAUCCUAUGAACAUUAUAGAAGUCACUAAAGCUGACUGCAAAUUGAGUGUAAGUUGAGAGUAUCUUUCUGGAAAAACAAAUUGGAAAUAUUUAUCAAAGGGAUAAAGAACUUACAUAUAUUUAGAACCAAAAAUUUCAAUUGCAGGACUCUAUCCUAAGAAAAACAAUUAGCAAUGAACACGUUUCAACCCAAAGAUGUUCACUGGGACAUUAUUUAAAAUAGCAAAAAUAUUAGAACAAGUUACAUGUUUAUUAAUAGAGAAAUGAAUACUAUGGAAAUAAAUUUAUGCUGUAAAAGUGACCAAAUAAAGCUUGGCUCAGGGGCUCAUGCCUGUAAUCCCAGCACUUUGGGAGGCUGAGGUGGGCCGAUCAUCUGAGGUCAGGAGUUCGAAACCAGCCUGACCAACAUGGUGAAAUUUCAUCACUACUAAAAAUAAAAAAAAUUAGCCAGGUGUGGUGGCGCAUGCCUGUAAUCCCAGCUACUCUGGUGAGUGAGGCAGGAGAAUCACGUGAACCUGGGAAGAGGAGGUUGUAGUGAGCUGAGAUCACGCCACUGCACUCACCCUGGGUGACAGAGCAAGAUUCCAUCUCAAAAUAUAGUAUAUAAAAUAUGCUAAUAAUAUGAUCUCAAACAUAUAAAAUAGGUAAAAGAAAGGAAUUUUAAUAGUGGUUGUCCAUGGAUGAUUGCUAUUUUUAUUUAUUCCUUUUCAUAUCUUCUAAAUUUUUCAGAAUGGUCAUUUAUUACUUUUAGGUACAAAAAAGUUAUUUAAAAAUUCAUCCAAAAGCAAAUGUUUGUGUCAACGUUACAAACCUAAAAUAUGGAUGUCCUCUAAGGAGGUUGACUUCAGCUGUAUAGCUAUUUCCCAGUGGAUAAUUAAAGACCUGUCAGACUUUCUCUCAUAUAUGAGUCCUUUAUGUUUAAGGGCUGUAAUUCUAUAUAAAAUGUCUGCAUAGAAUAACAUUUGGCACCUGAUGUUUGAUUCUGGAUAGUAUUGUAGUUCUCUAUUGCCAAAUGUGAGACUAAAAAGUUAGAUGGAGGUUAGCAUCAAGAAAUGUUUUCUAAGCUUUUCCCCUGGAACUGGACAAUGGUAGAAAUGUGCCAGAAGCAAAGGAAGCCUGUGGAAUAAGUCUCUUUCAGCCCAAAGUUAUAUUAAAUAGUUUCAUCUAUUCACUGGACAUAGAUUUGAGUCAUCAAACUUCUUCCCUAAGUUUGGUUUGCUUCCCAUGUUUCAGAUAUAUCUGAAGAGCAGGUCUGGCCUCACUGCCUUGGUACCAUUUUGGUGAUCUUCCCUUCACCUGGAAUGCAUCUUAAACCUCUCCUAUCUCAGGUUUCUUAGGCCCACGUUAGGUAAUAGCUCUUUGAAACUUCUACUAUUGCCCCCAAUUGGUGUGAUCUCCCCAUCCUUUGAACUUCCAUGGCACACUUAUAUGGUGUUUUCAUAUUAACUCUAUUAGAUUAUCAAUUUCUUAAGCACAAGGUCUGCUGUGCCUUACUCAACUUUGUAUUCCCCAUGUCUUGCCCAUCUUAGCAGAACUGAAUUUGUUUAUUUAAUGAAUCAGGUACUAGUUUGGCUGGCCCAAAGUCUGACUGUCUCACUUCAUGCCAUUUAGAUAUGAUGCCCAUUUAUUAGCUCUAAAAAAUCACAAGUAAGAAUAACAAUGAAUUUUUCAAAACUUCUUGAUGAAAUAUCUUUCUAGAAUAAACUAUUAAGAAAACAAAAACAUAGAGCACAGAGCUACAAACUUAAGUUACCAGGGUGCUCUACCAUGGUUUAUUGAUCUUUAGUAGUGUGGAAGAACAACCUGUGCUUUCGUGUUAGAAAGAACUGGGUUUGAAGCUAAUCUUGACAAUUAUUGGCAGUGAAAUUUUGGGUUAAUGUUCUAUCUUCUUCAAGUUUAGUUUCCUUACUUUCAAAAUGUGGAAUUAGUUAAUUAAUGGCUGUCUCCUAGUGCUGUUGUGAGGGUUAUAUAAAAUGAUGUAUGAAAGCACUUAGCAAAGUAUCUGGCACACAGAUUUAAGUCUCUAUGCUCAUGAGGACAGAGAAUCCAUCAUGUCCAGGACAAUUUAUGUUCUCUUGGAAAGUCAGGGUUAUAUCCCCUAGACUUUGCAGGGUAGUUAAUUUCUGGGUCUAUUAUUCUGAAAUCACCAAUCUACUCUCAUAACCACCCCCCACUCCGCCACACAGACACACAAACAGCUCAUCUGAAAAUUUUGUAGGAAUACUGAUGUUGGGCUCUGAUAUGGUUUGGCAGUGUCCCCACCCAAAUCUCAUUUUGAAUUGUAGCUCCCAUAAUUCCCAUGUGUCAUAGGAGGGACCUGAUGGGAGAUAAUUGAAUCAUGGAGGGAGGUUUUCCCAUGCUGUUCUUGUGAUAGUGAAUAAGUCUCAUGAGAUCUGAUCGUUUUAUAAAGGGGCGUUCCCCUGCACAUGCUGUCUUGCCUGCCAUGUAAGACUUUGCUCCCCAUUCAUCUUCUGCCAUGAUUGUGAGGCCUCCCUAGCCAUGUGGAACUGGGAGCCCAUUAAACCUCUUUCCUUUAUAAAUUACCCAGUCUCGGGUAUGUCUUUAUUAGCAGCAUGAGAACAGACUAAUACAGGCUCAGAAAAUAAUACCUCCAAAUGAGAGCCUCCACAGCAGCCUUAGAAGAAAAAGUUUUUCUCUGACCUUCUCUUGCCCUCCUAUCUCUCAGUCCCAUUUUUCCUCAAGGCUAGGCAUAGAAACCAGAAUCCUUCCCCAAGGAAGGUCAUAGAAAGCAGAACCUCUUUUCCCAAAAGCCAGCCAUAAAUCCUGAAAAUAUUAUAUGUAAGAACUGACCAUAAAGAAAUUAUCUGACCCACAUUGUUUGAUUCUAGGACAUAAGACUGCCAUUUCAGAGAGGGCUGUGCCCCACACCAGAAGGAAGGAAUGCAUGUUCAGAGAAGCCAAGAAGAAUCUAGACUGGCUGGCCCUGCUGGGCUUCCCCACUCAUUCUCUUAGCUUUAGAUCUUACCCUUUUUGUCCAGGCAUAUUUCUACAUGACUGCUCAUACUUUGUUGAAUCUAAGCAUAAAAAUGGACAAUUUCCCCUAUAUCUUUGGGUUUUAAUUAUGAAGGCUCUCAUGUAUACACAUUAGAUAAAUUUAUAUGCCAUUUCUUUUGUUAAUCAGUCUGCUUCAUAUCAGUGAUUUUCAGCAAACCUCUAGGGGCCAGAGCCCUGGUUCUCACAUUGAGCUGGAAUAUUGAAGGAAUUUCUGCAGUGAAAUCGUAUUUGGCUGUACAUAUAUAAUCUGUGAACCUCUUAAAUAAUUAAAGCAUAACUUACUAAUAAAGCAGGAAAGUUUAGUGGGCUCCAGAACCGAAACCAGUUGGAUUUAAAAUCCUGCUGCUAUACUUAACCUCUCUGUUUCUGAGUUUUCUUAUCUGUAAUGUGCGAUGAUAAUAUCUGCCUUGUAGCCUUGCUUUAAGGAUAAAAUGAGCUAAUGUCUAACAAGCACUUAAAACAGUGCCUAGUAUAUAGUAAGCCCUCAACAAAAGCUAGCAAUUCCCAAUUAAUUGAUUUAAAAGCUGGAGCUCUUAAAGGACUAUGUUGAGCCAAAGUAUUCCAAUAACUAAAUGAAGCUCCUGUAGUAGAGUUGGAGCCAUCUUUUGGGGGCAGGAAGGGAGUGUAUGGCGAUUUGUGCCUUAUAGUGGUUUGGAUUUGUUAACAGCACUAGUCAAGGAACACAGUGCGCUGAAAAAGUUGCCAGACGCCAGAUGAGAUAAGGAGCGUCCUGUGAGUAAGGACAGACUUGAACACUCCCAGCACAUAGACAAAGGAAGUGAUGGCUCUGCCUAAGAAAUCUUGUCCUUCAACCUUGACUUCACUGGAUUUUUUUUUCAGACACUGCUAAUCAUGUAAAUAAACAUAAGAACUUCCUGAUAGUGGACUAUCUCUGUUUUCAGAUGUAAUUCCUACCUCUAUUUGCAACAUGGGUAUUUAAUAAAAGAGGAAUAAAGAGGCAUGCUUGAAUGGAUAAUCAAGUAAACAGAUUUUCUGAUAUUAAAAAAAUAAAGGAAGUAUAUAAUUUGCUCUGGUUAUCUGGUCUAUAUUUUAUGGCUAAGUCAUUUUAACAUUUCAGGGACUUUCUUCUUGUAUAAUACCUAGACCUUUACUUUCAUAUAUUGAAACUUCUCUACUGAUUGAUUAGGUUUGUUGUUGUUGUUCUGUCUCACUUAUUUCCAUUUAUUGUCUGUUGUACUUUUUGAGUUUUUUUAAAAACUUAAGCUUUUGAUUGAAUAUCUGGGUUUUUAAAAUAAUAUUUUUAAUUUAUAAUUUAAGAGAUGAUUUACUUAGUUUAAAAAUUUUUUUUCUGCUUCCUGCACUGUUUUCUCUGAGUCUCUUUCUAGGUUUUUUGGUUUUGUCUUUUGAUUGUGGCUCAUGCAUUUUUUGUUAGGGGAUUUCCUCAAAUGUCUGGAGAACCUAGACUGUCCAUUCAUAAUUAUAAAUGAUGUACUAAAAAGGUAUUGGUAAUAGGCUUAAUAGCAUAUUAACAAAGAGUAUGCAAACUUUCUUAUGGGAGGAGAUCCCCAAAAUGUCUGUCUUAGUUCUUUUCUCUUGGGUCCGUUAGUUUCUCUGGAGAGGAAUUUUAUUCUAUCUGGCUGGUCUUAGGUUGGAUGGCAGUAUUCUCAGAGCUGAAUGUGGGCAUGGAAUGAGUGGUCUCACUCUUCAGCAUUCAGACUUUCACUUAAUUGCCCUCUUUUUUAGUGCAGGUGUCAUAGAUUGCAAUAACAGCACCAAUUCUGCAUGCGUCCUUGUAUUCACAUCCUUUGCUGUGAGACUGCUGUUUCUCUCCCUGAAUAGGUGGGGUCUUUUUAUGGGGUCCCGAGUCUAUUCUACUUUGGGCAAUAAAAUAUGACAGGAUUGACACUGUAUCACUUCCAAGGUUAGGCUUCAAAAAGUGUGCAUUUUUGUCUGUUCUCUCAGGCCUGUCACUGGCAUAAGAACAUUUUGAACAUGGCUGCCAGAUGAUGAGAGGCUUGUAGAUCAGAGUGGAGUCCACAUAGUCACCCUAGCCAAAGCCAGCCUAGAUCAACCAACCAAUGUUCCAGCAUGUGAGCAUGCGCAGACAGGAUCCACCUCCUAGCCAAUCUUCAGCUAACACCAUAUUCCUAAGCAAUACUGUUUUAUGGUUGUAUACCGCUGGAGUUAUGUGAUUGUUUGCUAUAAAGCAUUAUUGGCAUAACAGAUAAUUACAGGGUUUCACCACCAUCCUCAGAUGCAAAUCUCUUUAGAAAUUAACCUCCUGUCUUUUGCCCAGACUGGGGAGAAGUCACCAAGCUAUAGGGGUAGGGAGGGAUCAGGACAUCAAACUGCACCUUAUAUUAAUCUUUAAUUAAUCUGGGCUCCAUACUCGAUCUCUGAUGUGACAAUUCCUGAGCUUUUCCAGGGCCCUGUGGCUCAAGUGGGGUCAUUUCUUUUUGAAUCUCUCUCUGCAGGCGCCAGGUUUUGACCUGGUCUAUGCUCAGACACUUUCCAUUUUUAGAGGUUUUAUUUUUCACUCUUCUUUGCGUUGAUACCCUCCUUGGUUCACUUUGCCCGUGGGGUUUGGGCUCUUUAGUUUUUUUCCUCUUAUAUGAAGAAAUUUUAGGAGGAAGUGGGGGUAAACAUGUGCUUUUACAUUCCAUGUUUAGCCAGAAAUGUCUCCAGGUUUUAAUUUUUCACCUUGACUUUAAAACUUUUUUUUUCACUUGUAAAUGUUCAUCUGGUAGGUGUGAUUUACUUCAGGGUGUUAAAUGGCAUGAUUAUAAACAUCUCUCUGAAUAAUUUAAUAUAAUAAUAAUUGGCUCCUAUCCAAUGCUUUUUCUCUUCUUCAUUGAAUCUCAUAUAUAAAUUUAUUUCAUGGAUAUUUAUCAAGGUUCUAUUAUGGGCCACGUAUAGUGCCAACAUUAGUGAAACAGUGGGAAACACAACAGACAUGGUCCCUGUCCUUAAGGAACUUAUGAUAUAGUGGUUUAUCACUAGUCUUCUUGAAGUACUUCUUUCUGCCUUGUCUUAGUAAAUAUCCUAAGAUCACCCAUCACCUACCUCCGUUGUUCACUGGAGUUUAUAGUGUGGUGAGCCAGCGUAAGAGUGGAAUCACAGAGUUGUCAAUUUAAAUAUUGGGCAGUAACUUACCCCUUUUUAAGCCUUGGGAUCUUCAGUGUAGGAUGAAAUGUUAAAAAAAAUUAGACUAUAUUGUCAACAUUUAAAAAUUAAGAGCUCUCUCUUCUUUCUCCGAAACACACAUGCAUGCACAUUCUGAUUUCUCGCUUCUUUCAAAAAAUCAAGAUACUGCAAUAUUGGGCCACUUUCCUACAUGAUAUUAAGCAGAACUCAGUAUGGGCUGGCCUCCUUAGAUGGGCAUGGUCUGUGUAAUUUGCCUAGGACACCACCACUUCCCAUUAUAGUAAGAAAGUUUUAUACAUUUGUGUUAUUUGUCUGGCCUUUAUGGGCAUUGAAGUUUUCCACCUGCUUUAGAUAUUAGGAAAUGGCAGUGCUAUUUAAAAAAAUUCCUAAAGGAAUACUAAUCUGUUAACCUGUAGCUUUCAAAGACAUGAGACAUUAUAUUUUUCCCAGAUAUUAUAGAUCAGAAGUUCUUAAAUAUUAAUGUAUUUACUCAUAUACACAUUUAGUCAUAGAUUUUAAAUAUAUUUCAACGUUUAGUUGUUGAAAACUAAAUGAAGUAACAACAGUACUUGAUAAUGACUGGGUUGCAGAUUCUCAACUAGCUUUGACCUUCUUAGAUGUUUCAUUUUGUGAAAUCCAUAAUUUAUUUGAUUUCUGGCCCUUUGUGUUAACUCACUGGACUCAUUUGCUCUCUUGGUCUACAGCCUCCUCUGAAUUGCUUCUGCCCUGUUUUCACUUUGAUCCAGUUUCCACACAGUUCUGAACCCAUGGCUCCAUUUAUCAAACCUCACGCUGUGCCUUCAGAAGCAGUCUUCAUGUUUUCUCUCCCUGGCAUUUGGGCUAUGGGCAUCCCUUAAAGAUCCCAGCCUGGUUCAUUCUUCUAGUCCCAUAAGCCUCUGAUUAACUUUAGUGGUUCAACAGAACUGCAUCUCUGCAGGCUCUUGCCUGGUCCAGCCUUGCUUAAACCACCCCUCCUAAGAUCAAAAAAGAGGGUUCAAAUAUCUUGUUAACCCUAGGGUCCUGUGAUGGUUAUCCAAGUUGAGCAGAAUACUGUUGAGAUAUUAAGAUUGAUUUGAACACUGAAGUGAACUUCCCACCCAUGAAAAUACAUGAAUAAGGAUUUUCCUCUCUUCCUUAGGAAAAAAAUAAAUCUUUGUUCCUCUGAUAAUCCUAUUGCCCUUGUAUUUUGCCUAAUUUCUUCAAGAGAUAUACACUCAACAAAAAAUCAAAUAUAAUUCAAGGGUGUUGUAGUCGAGAACAAUAUUAGAAGAAGGAGGUUGAUGACCGGUCUCCUUCUCUGCAGUGUUCAGUGCACUUCUGAGAAUUGUGCUUUGCCAUGCAUACCACCAAAGGAGGGAGGGAGAUGCAGAUAAACUAGAGGUUGUCCUCAGGAGAGCCUUUAGGAUGGAUUGUGGGAACCCAAAGGGCACCCAUGUGAGGAGUAGUUGAGAAGAUAGGGAAGAGUAUGCUUGGAGAAGAGGAGACUUUGGGGUCGGGAGUGGUAGUUUGAGAGAGGGCAGGAACAUAGCUGUCAUCAGAACUAUCAAAUUGUCACAUGGAAGAAAGGGUAAAUGACUCCAAAGGAUUGAAGUUGACUCAAUGGGUAGAAACCUCAGAAAGAUAUAUUUGGGUUCUGGUUUUCUUUUUCUUUCUCUUUUUUAUUUAAAGAAGAGCCAUCCAAAUCUUUUUUUUUUAAUUAUACUUUAAGUUUUUUAUUAUACUUUAAGUUUUAGGGUACAUGUGCACAACGUGCAGGUUUGUUACAUAUGUACACAUGUACCAUGUUGGUGUGCUGCACCCAUUAACUCUUCAUUUAACAUUAGGUAUAUCUCCUAAUGCUAUCCCUCCCCCCUCCCCCCACCCCACGACAGGCCCCGGUGUGUGAUGUUCCCCUUCCUGUGUCCAUGUGUUCUCAUUGUUCAAUUCCCACCUAUGAGUGAGAACACGUGGUGUUUGCUGAACGCGCCCGAUCUCGUCCAAAUCUUAAGUUUUCUGUGAGGGAGAAUAGUCUGGACCUCUAUGCAACUAAGCAUAAAGUGGAUGACCACUUGGUGGGGAUAUUGUAGAAGGGAUUGACUCAUUGACAGGGUGAUUGGACCAGAUGAUCUUUAAGAUUUCCCUCUAUCCUGGGAUUCUACAGUGUUUAAAAAUUGUCAUGACAGGAGAUUCCUGCACAUUUUAAAAAUUAAAAUCACAAUAUUGUACGUGCUUUAGAAAGCCUAGCGGAAUGGAUUUAAUUCUGCCUAUUGUAGUGAUAAUAAUGCAAUAUUAAUAUGUGGAUAUGAUCUGUUUAUGGAUUACUCAUAUAGACAAAUUAGACAUAUUUAUUGGUCAACAAGUGCCACUACACAUUGUUGGAAUACAUGUGGCUGCUUUUUUCAUAAAUUAAUCAUUGGAGUGAAUUAAGAUGAGAACAUAACAAAUGUCAGCUCAUAACAAAUGUCAUCUAAUUCUAGACCCCAAUUUAUAGAUGAAAAUAAUAUAUAUUCAUUUUCUUCCUUCUCUCUUUCCAAAUUGGUAGAGAAAAGAUAUAAAUAUUCCUCUUAUAUCAUCACUUAGAGAUAAGAAUAUGCUAAAUCUGGAAAAUUCUGUUAGGAGGACCUAUAAUGGAAUAAUUCUGCCUCAUUUCUUUCACAUGAGAUAAACUUCACUUUUAUUAGUAUUUCUCCCCAGAGUCUUCUCUAAUCUUCUCAAUUUGGGUUCUUCCCAUUUUCUCCCAUGUCCUUGGACCACUUACUGUGUUUUAACUAGAGCAUGGUUAUAUGUAAAUAUGUGUGUUUUCCCCAGUGGAUGGCAAAAAGGAAUCUUCCUUGCACAUUUUUGUAAUCCCCACAAUACCUACUGCCUUUCCUGCGUGGGGUGAUUCUCAAUAGACGUUUGUGGUUUGAAAUCAUUUCAAAUCACAAAUAAGCACCUUCACUUAUGCACUACAUAUUUGGUCCAGCAGUUAAUAUGACAGUACUCAUUAAAUAUCCCAUGUGAUAUUGUGAUGAACUUGCUUUGGAAGUUAUUGAUCAUGACCAUUAUAUGAGAAGAAGAAAAACCUGAUUACUCUGAACACGUAGGAGCACAGCAGAAAAGAAAAUGCACCUAAAAGGAUUUUUGUUUUCUGAUUUUUUUUUUUUUUUUUGCACAGCUUUCAAGUGCAGACAACUUUUUCUUGUUGUCUAGAGCCAUUGCUUCCAGAGCUUAUGAGGAGCUAUAAAAGAGGUCAGGACACCUGGGUCUAGUCUCAGCUCUACCACGAACUAGCAAUGUGGCCAAGCACCAAGCCUUUCUGGUCUUAGCUUUCUCAUUUAUAAAAUGAAGAAGCCAAAGUUAACUGGAUUUCUAGCCCCUGCCAACUCUCAUAUCUCUAACAGUAAGUUGAGAGAUUUUUCUCUCUCUGACAUUGUCCCCUUUCUUUCCACCUCUCACAAUGUGCGCAACUUGAGAUAAGUUACUUCACCUCUGUGUGGCUCAGCUUUCCCAUGUAUACAAUGGGAGAUACCUACUUUUUAGUGUUGUGAUUAGGAUUAAAUGAGUUAAUGCAUGUGAAGUGUUGGAACAGUGUCUGAUGUGGAAUACUCACUAAUGUUAACUUUUUAUUUUACUACUUUGCUGAAAAUGUUAGUGUAUUUCCAGUUGUUAAAAUUACAAACCAACCCCUCACAUGGUGCCUGACUCAGGAACUUUACCGACUAUGGGUUUUCAAUCUAUUUUAUAUCAUUCCUCUUUAUUUUUUAAUUUUUAGUUUUUGAUGCAGUGUCUCCCACUCUUGCCCAGGCUAGAGUGCAGUGAUGCAAUCAUAGCUCACUGCAGCCUUGAUAUCCCAGCCUCAGGUGAUCCUCCUGCUUCAGCCUCCUAAGUAGCUGGGAUGACAGGCAUGUGCUACCGUGACUGGAUUUAAAAAAAAUUUUUUUUAUGUAGAACGAGGUAUUACUAUGUUGCCCAGGCUACAUUCCUCUUUAAAGUAGCAUUAUAUAAAAUUGUAUUUCCGUCUGUUCUCAGAAUAUCUCUGAUCAUUCACACACUGUAGUCUAUAAUUUUCUAUCUGUAUCCCCUACCCUGUGUUGCUCAGUGUGUUUGUUUUUACACAACUAAUCUUUGGCUUCUGGCUCACUGUCCUGUGUUGAGGGACCAUGUAGAGACUUCGGUGUUUGCCAUUUCCAUGCUCAUAGAACUCAUUAGUACAAUAGAUGGAGACACCUGGUGCAUAGAGAUGGAGGACUCAGCAUGAGAAUGUCCCAUUUUCCAUAGCCCUCAUUUUUGCUUGGAGCAUGAUGAAUGUUACACUGGCAUAGUUAAGAGGUCCAUCAGUUCAGUUCAGUAUAUUAUAAGUAAAAUUAAAUAUAUUGAGCAUUUCAUCUGUGAUAAGCUCUGUUCUAGUUUUGUAUAUAUGAGAAAAUAUAUCCAACUGGAGGUAGAAGAGAGAAAGAUAUGAAGAGAACAACAGCGGGGUCUUUGUUCUCAAGGAGUCUGCACUGUUGCUCGAUGUGGUGCUCUAGAUAUCAGGGAGAAGUAUGCCUUGGAAGAUAAUAAUUGACACCUACAUAGAAAUUCAAUGGAUACAAAAUCCUUUUAUAUAUGUAAUAUCGUUUAAUCCUUCAUCACUAUUAUUUGAUUUAAUCCAAAGUUUAACUAAGUUUUGCAGAGGUUAAAUAACGUGCCAGCAGGCUGCCCAGCCAGAACGGGAAGUCAGAAUGUUCUUCUGCCUGUAGGGUGUGUGCUCCAAUGUGCCUGGAGAAGAAGAAUGUGAUAAUGGAUAAAACGCAGAGGUUCCUUGUAUGUUUUACUGUUUUUUUUUGUUAGUCUGUAGUACACUUCUGAUUCUCCAAAGUGGUACACAAUUUUCCAACUUUGAAUUUUUGACAGAGUCAUGAUUUAAAGCUUCAAGCAUAUGAUUAUGAGAUGGUGGUUCUCAACAUUUACCACAACCUCCCAGCAAACCACACAGCAGUCAACUCUCAAGAUUUCUUCCAGGAGGGUAAAGGGAUUUUUCUCUUCACAUGCCAUCCAACUCCAUGGGAAAACAUUAGCAGUGACAAAUGACUCUGGAUGAAUGCUUGAAUCCGAGCUUUCUGGCAUCCUUUCCCAUUCUCUGAACAUGAGAGGAAUGAGAAGGUUAUUUGGAAGGUCGCUGAUCUUAGGAGUUGUCCUGCUACAGUUACCGGAGAAUCUUGAAUUUCAUCUGAAAAGACUGCAAGGCAGUCGGGGCAAGCAUGCUAUGAGAAGUCAACUGGUAAGCAGACCCCAGAGAUGAGAAGCAUAUGGGAAGCCAACCCCAUGAUUUGCUUCCUUAAAAAGUAUGGGCUGUGGAUGGAUUUUAAAUCCUACUCUAAAUACAAGACUGGUGUUAGCGGUUGUUUGCAGGAAAACCAAAGGAACUUAGCAUCCUUCAGUGUGUUACAGAGACUGUGUGGCCUCAAGCAGUGAAGUGAAGAAUUCUUUUUGUCUUUUUCCUCAUAUGCCCAACCUGGAAACCAGCAGAAUUUUUGAUGGUGCAUCUGGUUCCUGGUGUGCUGCAGAAGUGAUUAGUGUGUCAUGUCACUGUGGCCUCUUUCUCUGCCCCAGGAGAAUGUCUGGGGAACAGAAGAGCAGAGUCCUGCCUGGGAUCAUGUGGGUGGGGGAGCUAUUCCUUCUCAACAGAUAGUGUGAGAAGCACUGAUCCAAGGUCCUGGCUGCUCAAAGUGUGUUCCUAGGAGCUUGCUGGACAUGCAGAAUCUCAAGUUCCAUCCCAGAACCUGAUGUUUUUAUUUGGAGCACUGGCCUUGGCAACACAUGUUCCUUCCUCACCUUUCUGCAGCCUCUCACUCCCCACUGUCGCCCACUCCUCAUAGGCUAUCCUCAGGAAUGGCAUUGGUGGAGUGUUGGUGAAGGUGUAGCUGCAAGCAUUCUGAUCUUUAUUUUACAAACUCUAAACCCAGAAGACUCCAAACCCAGAAAAGUCUAAGUCACAGAAAGCAAAGGAACAGUCUUAUUUCAGACACAUCUACAGUCUUUGCUGGUUAAAUGUCAGGAAGCCCACAAAAAGCUGCCAGACAUUUCAGGGUAUGAAUUUCGUAUCUGUACUUCUUGACAUCUGCUGGGCUACCAUGCCCUUCAAUUUACCAAAAUAUGGAAAUUUCCUUAUGGCAUUCUACCCAAAUAAUGAGGAAAAUGUUGAUGCUUCUCUCAGCCUCAGGACCUUAAAGCCACACUGUUCCUAACCACGCUUGCCUAUAUGGCACUUAGCACUUUACACAAAAAACAAACAGAGGUGUUUAUUCCCUGGCAGUUAAUAUAAAUGCUUUCUGUUUUGUAAAAUAGGAACAGUAUUUGAUUCCAUUAUCACAGAUCUCUUGUGGACAAGUCAAAAUUCUUCAAUUAAGGUUAUAUCUAGUUAAAGGAAUUUUUCUCUUUGGUCUACAUCCCCACCCUGAAUGUCCUUGCCUGUUAGUUCCUUGCAGGUGAAAGGUAAAAAACCUUUGCAACUUCAUGCUAUAAUUGUGCCUUUGAAUUUUCAGAGGAAAAGACAGUGAGAGAGCAAGAGCAGAUUGAGAAGCAGAAGAGUGAGUCGCAAAAAGAGAAAAUGACAGAAAUGGAGCACCCUGGUGAGUCCCAACCACAUCCAUUCUUGAUGAUAACAACCAAAGCUCAGAAAAUGAUUUCUUACAGAAUGUUGUAUCAAAAGGAGCAUAUUGUAUGUGCAAAGUUGCUGCAGCUUUCCUAAGUUGGCUUCAAACUAUCCAACUAUGAUGUUAACAUAUUACCUUCAGCCAGUAUGAUACACAUAUUGGAAUGUUUUGUAUCAUUGACUACUUUUCCUGUGUCUGUCCACUCUACUGUUUCAAACCCCUGGUACUGGGACAGUGAUUGAACCCAGGUAUUCUUGUCAAUAAUAGUUGGAGGGGCUUAGCAAUAGAUCAAGGUAUAGAAGAAUUAAACCUGCUAUAGCUUGAUCUACUUUGAGAUUAGAGUGUACAGGGUCCUCUCCAACCUGACACACUUGGCCCUUUUCUGACAUAGGUUUAGUAAGUUUUGUGUGCAUUUGUAGAUAUUUUUUCAUUCCUAGGGGUUUGGCUUCAUUGAGAUGUGAGUUGUGGAGCCAAAAUACCAGAGAGGCUGACUGUUUUUGUAGCAAGAGUUAGUUUAUUUUGUGGUUGGGUUUGAAAAAGAAAAAGCUAAAAACUGCCCUCAAAUAUCUGAUUUAGCUGAUUGCUAGGUUAUCUAAAUCAACUUGAAAACUUUGGAUAAGCAUUAUUCAAACACUAAAGGCAACAAAAGUCUAUUUCAUUAUGUUUGCUCUGAUACCUAGCUUCCCGGCUGACUUCUUUUCCAGUUCCUUUCAUCCUUUCACAAACCUGAGGAAUGAACAUACAGAAAAGGCAUUUUACUUAGUUACUAUUAGAAAGCAUGAAUAUCAUCAACUCAUAUAUCUUUAUUCAGUUUAGUACUCUGCAGACAUCCUUGUUGGAUAUUUUAUUCUGGGAUUGUUAGAACUAAAGUUAGCCUUAAUGACUUAAAGCAAUGAUUUUCAUAAAUUUCUCCUGAAAUGAUGUUUUGGUACAAAAUGCCCUGAAAAUGAUUUAACUAUAGAUAACACUGAGAAUUUUACUUACUGCUGCUCAUCAGAAAGACACCCUGGGUCUCCUUUCCCUCUCUCCACCCCUUAUCCCCUUUCUCAGAGAUUAAUUGAGGAAACAUUUAAAAAAGUUUUCAGUUUUGGUUAGGAAAUAACAUCAUUAAGCAAGUUUUGCUGGGUGAUGUGUAAUCACUGAAACGCCAAUUUGUUCAGGAAGCAGGAAUUAACACCUUUGCUCUAGUGAAAAAGAAAUUGGUACAAGACUUUAAGGAAGUCAAAAUGAUGAAGUUUGGAUUAAGCUCUUAGCAGGAAAGGCAAAGGCCACAGUGAAAGCAAUCCUGAGCUGGCCAGCCCUGUAAACAACUGCUAGCCCCUGGUUAAGUGUCUUUUUCUUUUGACAUAGAGAAGUUAAAAUAUAGUGCAAUUUAAUAUAGUCAGCACACUUCACCCUAAAAUCCAAUCAAUUUAUUAAAGAAAAAAAGGUCCAUUCAACCCAGCCAUUAUACAUGACUCUAUAGUUCUUGGAAAUAACUAUAGUCAGCUCUGGAAACAGAAAACUAAUCCAACUGACCACUUGAGGGAGGUGGUGGGUUAUCUUGUCUAGAAAAAGGACCUCAGUUCCUUCUUUGUAGUGUGCAAUUUUAAGAACUUUGAAUACCUCCUGUGACCUAUGGGUAAAAUGAGAUCACAGGAACCCAGACAAUGGCCUUUUCUCCACUUGGAUCUAUAAUCUAAUUUUCCUAUAAAGUAAGGGGAAUAAAAUAGAUUUACAGAACACUUGUGAUGGUCUAGCUGAUGGAUCACUUUAAAAAGAGAGAAAGAGGCAAAGUAUGGGUAGUUUAUUUUCACAAAUCAGUUUUAGUUUUUUUCUAUGAAAUUAAUGAACAAGAAGCCCAUUAAAAUGAUUGUUACAAUUCUUCUUUUUAAUUGUUUACUCUAUUAAGGUGACAAUACUUGACAGCUUGAUAUAUGAACAGUGUUCACUUGCCCAACAUAAACAUCAAUUAUAACAUGAAAAUGCGAUGGUCCUUCAACCCUUCAUUCACUCAUCCAGGUUAAAUGCAGAAUUUGGAAAGAAACCAAAAUUAAAGUUAAUUUUACCUAGACUUCAACAGAUGUUUUUUAACAAGAAAAAAAAAAACAAAGAAAUUGUGGCUGAAGAAAAGUUAGCUGAGAUGAAGAGUAAAAUGGGUCAUGUAGGAACAAAGUCAUUGUAUUUCAUCAGAGUCAAGAAAAUUAUUAAUUAUUGAAAUGGGAAAUCAAAUCAUUAAAGUAUGAAUACCAUUGGCUCUCUGAUUUCUUCUUUCCCAGGUAUCAUAAAAUAUGCUUGAACUUGGGUUAAUUCCUCUUGGACUGAAUUGUAGUGCCAUAAACCAAGCUUUUCAAAAAGAUUGGAUGCAAAACUAUUAUGGCAACAGGAAUUUUUAUCAACAUAAAGCAGGAUUUAAUGCAGGUAUAUAGUAUAUAGAGUCAAAAAGGAUUAUAAGAUUUAUAAUGAAAAACAGCAGUACUCUACUUCUCCAUUUGCUAUCCCCAACUCUCGAUGUGCAGAUACCAAUUUCAACUUGUUUAGCUAUUUCUUCUGGCAUCUAAUUCCAAAUGGCUAAAUAACAUGUUUAUACUAAUUUCUUAUAUAUGUGCAAUAAAGCUUUAGGUAUUUUCUAUUGCUUCCUCUUAUUGGAGAAAAGAAUCCAGCCCUAUCAACUCUCCCCACACCACUUAAUAUAUACUUCCCAUUUCCUCAGCCUCUAAAUGCUGGUAAAUUACCAUUUUUGGUUUAACCUCUAUUCUGUGUUUGCUUUAUUAUGACUACAUAAAUACUAUACACAGCUGAGCUCAGAAGGGUGCUCUGACCUUUUUUUUCAACUCUUUGCUUUCCUAAAUGAAAAAUUGCACGAUUUUUUCAUUAGCUGAUUUUUAUAUUUCUACUACUGAUUCAUCCCCCAAAUCCAAGGUAUACAGCCUCUCUCAAUGCAAAUAUAAUAAGUGAUCCAUCAGUUUCAUUUUUUUCAAAGUAUCCAUCCCCUUUCCCUUAAGCCCUCUGGCUGCCUCCUCCCACAACUGGUUGUUCCCUGUGCCUACUGCAAGCUCUGGUCCAGGGUCUUCCCCUUACUAUCAAACUGGGGAUUCUCUUUAACCCUUUCCAUUGUUAUAUUUUAAAAUUUCAAGAGCGAUCUUAUGUUUUCAGAAUACUCUAUGUUAAAAAAUACAUAACAUUAUUUUCUUAUUUCAUCAGAUGGAAUAGUGCUUUUAUUUAGCUUUCUAAAUUUAUUUAUUAUAGUUUCUUUAAAGUUUUUAUGGUAGGCACUGGAUGCAACACUCAGAUCACCCUUCAAGGAAAGAGUUGUUGCCCAAGAUCACCUUCCCUUUUUGAGGUAGCCACACCCAAAGACUGUUCCAUGUGAGCUAUGAGUGCUUGGCCAUCUUGGCCCAAUGUGGGAGAGUUCUGAAGGGCUGUUCUAGCCCCAGACACUGAGGCUGAGGCUGUCAUGGGACUGGCCUUGCAGCUUGCCUUCUUUGUUAGCCCACCCCUGCUUUUGUCCCCUCCAAAGUGACUCCCUAAUAAAUAUCUUGCAUGCUCAAGCCCAUUUCAGAGUCUACCUCCCAGGGAAACAUAGCUGUGACUAUAUUCUUCUUCAUACAAUAUAUCUGUCUCUUCUAAGUUACUUUUAUUCUGUUUAUGCAUUGUAGACUCUGACUUCUAUGCUAGAUACUUUCUGUUCUGCCUUAUGUGAAAGACAAGUUGAUUGAAAUCCUAAGUAUGUAUAGCGCAUGUUUCCUUAGGGUCACCAUGUAGAAAAACUGAGAAAACCAGCUGUUUAUUUGGUGUCUAGGUCUUUUUUCUUGACCCCAGACAGUUUCAUCUUUUCUCCUGCUUGGGGAGCAUAAACCUGGCUAGCAGCUUUCUGGGAUCUAGUCAGGGAAGCGGUUGGGAGUUACAUUAUCAGUGUAAACAUUUUAAUUUAAUAGUCUAGGUUUUUAGUCUGGAAUUUCAGCCCCAAUUUCAAUUCUGCCCGAAAAACAUACUAAACUUCUCUGUUUAGAAUUCUUUAGAUAAUUCUCUUUAUUCUUAUUGUCUAUCAGGGUAUAUAGGAGGGGUAAUUUUAGGAUAUCUGAAAUUGGGAAGUGAUUGGAGGAAUCUAAUUUUUCCUUAAACAAAAUUUCAACCAAUUACUUCAAAAUUAAAGUUAUCAGCUCCCCCACCCACCUGCCUCCACUGUGCCUUCAGAGGUAUACUAUACCUCCCAAACUUGGUCCUUUCUAGGGCUCUGCAGAAGAAAUUGUGUCACUUCUUGUGGACCUUCUUCCUUCCUGUGAACGCUUGAGGCUCUCUGCUUUCAAUUAAGUGAAUUACUGCUUAUCUAUUCACUCUUCAUCUUUCAAGAUUUUGUCAAUAUUGCUCCUCUGCUGUGGUCCCUGCUUCCAUUCUCUUUAUCUAUGUGGGUUCAGAUCUUUAAAAAUUUCUGUAUUGUUAUUUAAGUAGAGUUGGAAAGAGCAUAGUUAUAUAUACAUGCUCUGAUUGAACUUGUUUGAACCCAUCAGAGUACUCUUACUGUACCAAAUCAGCAGCAUGUGACAGUGUUGAUCCUGUCCUCUUUUUAGAAACAUUCCUCACUUGGCUUCCAGGAUAUCACACUGAACAAAGUUUUUUUUCUACUUUUCUGACUGUUCAUUCCCAUUGUUUAAUCUUUCAUUUCCCCAAAGAUUAACUUGUCAUGAAAAAAUCAAAAUAUGGCAUUUCUACCAAAUAAUAUUAACUAAAGUGCAAGAGCAGAUAGGAUGACAAAACUGAAAGACUACAUGUCAGGUUUCACAUAUAGCGAAGAAUAACUAUAAGACAGCUCACAAAUGAGAGUGAAGUAUAUACUUUUCAAAGAUAUUCACUUAGCACUCAAGCAAGUAAAAUGAUUUUAAACUUUUUCUGUUUUCUGAAAUAUUGUUAUAAGGUUCAAACACCUAAAAAAUAUGAACACAUUUUAACUUACCUCUAAUAAUUAGGGAAGAAAAUUUAAAAACACACAAACUAAAUUCAUGCUUAUUGAAUUUUUUUCAAUUAUAGAUUAUAUCCAACUCUGUCAAACCAGUUUCUAUAUAAGAAAGGAGAAAAACCUAUUUGUAAACUAUAAUAAAUCAAUAUGCCUGAAUCAAAUUUCCUUUGUUAGAAUAGAAUAUGCUACGUGAUAAAGGACUGAAAAAAUAGUUUGGAAUGAAAGAAAUUGGAAAAAAGAUAUAACUUUAUAGACAAAACUUCAAUCAUUGUAUUUUUUGAUCAUUGACUCGUGAGGUUAUAUUUUCAGAAAUAUUUUAUUUGGUCAUCUUAGAUGAUCUACAAAGAUUACCUAUUGUGAAUAUGUAUUAUAAUUUUUUAAAAAUAUACCUGAGUAUAUUUUAUGCCAUUCAAAUCAGAAUUUGUACCAGAGAGCUAAAUAUUCUGUAUAAGUGAUAAAUACCUUGUCCAAGCCAUAGUAAUUAUUGCCAUUAGCCAAGUGAACCUAGUAUCACCUUCAUUCAUUACACAGUCUAUCAUGUUCUCAGAAAGGACGCAAGGACAAUUUAGCAAGGAUGUGUAGUUUAUCAUGUUUAUAGCCAGGAGGCCAGGAAAAUUUAUGCAGGGAAAAUUUGGCAAAGAAAAUUUAGUGUUAGAGUUAUAAACACAGUAAUUCCUAACAUGUUAGUCCUUAAAUGGAUUACUGUAAAGAAGGUAGUAAGUUUAGGUCAGAGCUAUAACAUAUAGAAACAAGAAUGAUUCAUAUACUUUUAAGACAGUAUUCAAAUCAAUGAGUUACUAUCUAUUUUUCUUCAACAACUGCUUACGCAUGUGGCAAUAUGAGCCUAAGACAGGUGCUGAUGCCUUAGUCACUUGGCCACACAGUUUUGUGGUUUACGAGUCAUGGGAAUUGCUUGUCUUACUCUGACUGCUAAAGUUCUGUCCUAUUGUCUUUUCAUGUAAUAGCAACAUGACUCUGAUGACAAAGCCCAACUAAUUACACAACUUAAUUUAAUAGUUUAAAGCGCAAAGGGCAUUCCCUGAGCAGUAAAAUCUUUUGUUUGGAAAUUUUAAAACAAAUUAUAUUUUACUUUAUGUUUUAUAUUUACGUAAUAAGUAUUUACAAGAACACAAUUUUCUCAAGAUUUAAACUGCUCAUUGUUCCAUAAAUAGGACACACAUUUAGAAAGAGGAUUUUUUUUUAAAGGAAUAUUUUAGUGAUUACUUCUGGCUAAAAACAUGAAACUCUUUUAGUGCUUGAUGUUACUGGAAACUUGCUCUAGAUUAUUUUUUGAAUCUUUGCUGUGAGGUUAAGAAUAGAAAUGUUUUCACUCCCAAUUAUUGCUUUGAAUUAAGAUUUUGUGUCUGGGUGAAAUUUUCCUCUGGCUUAAUGCAUGACCAGGCUGGUAGAAAUGUUUCACCUAAAUCCUCUUAUUUUUGUUAAAACAUUCAUAAUCCCAAACCCUAAUAGUUGGAAGUGCAUGUGAUAAUUGUUAGUCCCACUCCUGUCCUCAUUUUAUAAAUUCCCCUGACAACAGCCUUGCUUAAGAUUAUCACCUAACUUCUGUUUGAUUUCUUCCAGUGAUAGAGAAGUUUCUGUUCAAUUUAGGCCUCUUGGGUCAUGUUACCAACUGUUUUUACCCUAAUACAGAUUCCUACAUAUCAAAGGGUUUUGUGGGUUGGACCAAGGAGCAAGAAGGCUUUACCUUAAAAGGUCAGGAAUGUAAAUUGCCCAAGGUGAACUCUGAUUUAAAAGAAAAGGGCACCAUUGUUCCAGUGGGAUUGUGAUUAUGAUAGUUAAUAGAAAACAUUGUCAGCCAUGUUGGCUCUGGGGAUGAAGAAGAAGAGGGUGUUUUCCAAGACUGGGAUUGAUGUUAGUAUCCUGUGAGUGUAAAGUGUUCUAAUAUCUGGCCUGUUUUCAGGAGAGCUGAGGCAACUGAGGCAGCUUACUGAGCCAAAGUUCUUACUAGCCUUAUUUCCUUUCCUUUAUUAAUUCUAUUAUUUUAAUGGCUUUUUGUUAACACUUAGAGGUAAGGAAUACAGUUUGCCAAAUACAUAGCAAGUCAUCCUGUCAAAAACAGAUAUUUCAAGAUAAAACUCCUUGGUCUGAAAAGACAGAUUCAAAAGAAAUUGUAGACAGUUUCUACUAUCAAUGAUUUUACAGACUGAUGGAGAUAAGACAGGAGAUAACAACCUCGUAGAUAAAGCAUAUAAAACAUGAAAGCUUUUAUAACUUUAUAGAAUGUAAAUAUUACGUAUUAACAUAAACUCUAGAGUGCACAGGUGCAUCAAAGCAGAAUGGGAUUGAGAACCUUUCUACAAAAAGGAUGUAAAGAAUAUGACUUUUCAGGGUUGAGGGAAAGAUUUUGGGGAAGGAAGAGGUGCUCUUUAGGAGGUACCGAUGGGGGAUCCUGUGAUAAUCAGCAUAUCCUCGCAAAGCAGAAGGGUUGAAGGGAGUUUGUCUGUGAAUAGAGCCUUGCUGACUUGGGUAGCAUUUCUUCUUUUUUUCCCACUUCUUGGUGGUCGUUUCUUCAAGAGGAUUUGGACUUACCACUCAGGAAGACCUGGUAUAGACUGCUUUACUGUGCAUCUGGGCUAAUGGGGUUUGAUUGUUGAAGGCCUUAGUGGUCUCUUUUUGAGGACCCCUUUUUGUCAUCUUCCCUUAUGGGGUCUGUGCUUGAGAUCAGUAUGGUAGCCUGACCCCUGACUCCCCCAACCCCACCAUGCAGUGUGACCCUUUUCCAGGUGUUUAAGCCUCUUCUCUGGGACACCUUGUACAAUACUAUACUACAUUUCCUCCUGACUUGAGCUUGCAGCCUUCAUUCCUGUGCAGGUAGGCAGACAGCUUUAAAGAUUUGCUCUUAGAGGGAUUAUUUUUGGAACUUAGGACUCUGGGGAUUUCCUGAGCUGAGAAUGACUUUGCCCAGGAAAUAAUGAAUUGAAUCAUUGUCUGUCUUUUGACCCUCAGAUCACCUUUUUUAUUUUGCAAUCUCUGCCCAGUCACUAGGUAUCAGCCUGGCUGCACCCACUGAUAAUACCUUUGUAUGUUUUGUAAUUGAAAGGCCAAUUUCAGGCCCAUUUCAACUGGGGCUGUUGGAACUUCACCUGCCCCCUACAGGGAGGUGAGGUUUGUGAAACUGGGAAACUGGAAUAACAAGUGAAUUAACACACCCAUCCCUCCAACACCACCCACCCACUGCAGGCUUCGUAGACUGAUUGAUGACAUUUCCUAAUAUAGCAGGGGUAAGAUGACUUAUUUUGAAAAUAGAAUUAAAACUUUCCCUUUUUAGGAGCAAGCAUCACUUUGGCAACACCAUCAACCCCAAGCACAUUAGUUCUUGUGGUCAAAACAUUAACAGGGUGCUUUGUUAACAAAAUGUUCAGGUCAUGAUAAGGCCAACAAAGGAACUGUAAGACUUUUUAUGAGCCGAGUCUUUCCAAAUAGCACUCCAAGUUAAAAGUACUGAGAGCAAAAGUUUCUUCUGUAAUAAGGCCCAGAUGAUCUGGGGUGAGAGUUUUCAGGAGUGGGCAGAGGUGUUGGGGUGUUGCAUUGACCAAAAUAAGCCACCUCAUGGAAAGCGGGAAACAAUUGGUAGGUCCCCAAAGUGUGCAGCUAUCUGAACAGUUGGAGUAAAGGAUUUCAGAUAGCCUCACUAAUUAGCCUACUUGGGCAGUUUAGAAGAGUGGAGGGCCUUUUAAAGAGGUCCCAGGGAGUGCUAAAUGCUGGGGGAGUUUAUUGCUGUGCGUGUAAGCAAUGGUACUGGACAGGGAAUUGAAAUGAGAUCCUGUGAUCUGCAGAGCACCUGCUCUGGGAACUCAUCUUUAUGGAACCUUCCCUGACUCUAAACUCUGAUUAUUUUCCUACUCUAUCAGCUCACCGUUUUUAAUAAGAAUUAUAGAUUAACUGUUAGCACUUAUAGAGUGCUUCAUCUUUUUAAGGCACUGGGGACGAUACGUGGGGAAGGAGGGUGGGAGGGAGGGGAAGCUGAUGCGAGCAACCUGAGAGAGAGUUACCUCAGCCCUUAGUGCGAGUCGCAGCUCUAGCUGUAUGUUGUUAGACUAAUCAUGAAGCCUUUAUGGGAUUCUGUCUUGCCAUCUGGAAAAUGAGAUAAUUGGAUGAGAUGUCAUUUUGGUCUUGAAAAUGACUAAUAAUAAUAGAUUAUAUUUAUUAAUGCCCUAAUAUAUCUUAUUUGGCUUUAUAAUAAUCCUUGAGGUAGGCAUAGCACAAAACAUGAUCUCUGCUUUAAAGAGGAGUAAUAUGAGACUCAGAACUGUGAAGUGAUUACCUUAUGAAGCACAGGUAAUGCACAGUGCAAACUAUGUUAAGAAUCCAGGAUUUUUGAUUUCUAGUUUUUUCUAUACCUCUCAAAAAUUGUACUUUGAUACACUAGAGGUCUUCUUUGAAAUAAGUACUUGAAGGCAAGGAGGGUAUAUUAUAUGUGUUCUCUAAUUCUCCACUGCUUAAUAAAUAUUGGUCACUGACUGGCUAAAUAGAAGCUUUGGGACAUUAGGUGACAAUGUUCUUACUUUGAAGUCCAGAGCAUAAUCAUGGUAACAGUUACAGGUUUUGAACUGCUAUACUAUGCCAGAAACAUUACAUAUAAUACUUCAAUUAUUGUUAUUAUUUAUUUGAAAGGUGAAGAACCUGAAGCUCAGAAUGGCAAAUCACACAACCAAUAUGGUGAAGCUGGGAUGCAGACUGAGGCUGCCUGUUUCCCUUGAUGGCAAUAACUUGCUUGUCUGACCCUUUCUCUCCCCCUGUAUCUUUCUCUUGGUGCUUUCUCUUGGUUCCUUCAGACCUUCUUGGGCUCCCUCAACUGAAGGAAAGUAGCUGAGAAAGAUUGUAGACCCAGCCAGUGUUGUAGGAGGAUUCUGUGGGUUCCAAGAGUAGGGUGAACCUGAACCUGGCUCUCUGUUGUUGUCACUAUGGAGGAAAAGUAUUUCUUUAAGAUGAGAGGCUGCAUAGUAACUAGGGUUAAAUGCAAUCAGAGGCAGCCUGACAAAGAAUUUCCUUGUCCAAAAACACGAAACAGGGACAGCAGCUUGUGUGGGAUCAAGCAGAAAGGAGUGACAGACCUGGUUUUGUGUUUGCACAUUAUUAAACAACUUUAAGUAUAUGUAAUAUUAACACUGUGGGUCUUUGAGAUCAUGUCUUUCUUCCUGGUCCACUCAAGUUUGAGGAACAUUGUUCUAAUUCAAAGAGUAAUUCUAAUUGUAGAUCUUGAAGGUCAAGAGAAAGGAGAAAACAUGGUAGGUGAGUAGGGGAGGUAUUUGCAGGCAAUCCCCUGGAAAUAAGUCACAUUUUUUCCUUGAUUCAUAUAUUUAUUUGGUAAUGAAGAUUUAUUUCUAAGUGAAGGAUAGAGUCAGUAGGACUAGUAUAGAUAAGCUGUUUUGGUCAGCAAAGUUUAUCUUUACUCCUACAGUCUUCUCCAGGAAGCCAUCACAAAUCUUUUUGGCACUCUUCAUGCUCUUUUUUCAGGGGACUCUUCAGCUUCUAGAAUGGUGAGCAAUGACCUGGUUAGGAGCCAGGCUUCUUUUGCAUGUCCUGGCCCCAGACUAUUCUUAACAUCCACCUAAAAUACAUAUUGCAUAUCUUUUGAGCCUGUGUAUUCUAAGGAGAGGUCACUUGUUUUAUCUUACUGAUAUGCUUUUCUAAUUUUUAAAUAUUCUCUCAUUCAUCAAUACUUAAUUUUUCUAUCUAAUGUUCUUCUAUUCUCUUUCUUACUGCUUUCCAGGGUAAAAGCUUGCUGAUAAAAUAAAUGAGACCAUAAUUUAAGAUAAUGGCUUUAGGGUUUAGUUAGCCCUUUUUAUUAGUCUGUUCCUUUGCUGCUAUGAAGAAAUACCUGAGACUGGGUAAUUUAUAAAGAAGAGAGGUUUAAUUGACUCACAGUUCUGCAUGGCUGGGGAGGCUUCAGGAAACUUACAAUCAUGGUGGAAGGCACCUCUUCACAAGGCUGCAGGAGAGAGAAUGAGUGUAAGCAGGGUAAAUGCCAGAUGCUUAUAAAACCAUCAGAUCUCAUGAGAACUCACUUACUAACAUGAGAACAGCAUGGGGAAACUGCCCCUAUGAUCCAAUCAUUUCCUGCCAGGUCCCUUCCAUGACAUGUGGGGAUUAUGGCAACUCUAAUUCAAGAUGAGAUUCGGGUGGGGACACAACCAAACCAUAUCACCCUCCAUAAUGAUAUGUGCAUUUUAAAAUAUCCUUCUGAAGAAAAUGCUUUAUUUCCAAAGCUUUACUUUAAUUGUGAGAUUUGGAGCUCUAUAAUUUUCUUGUCAGAGCACAAAGGUCUUUCAUAGCUUACCAAAUAACAUAAUAUAGGCAGCUUACUGGUUUACAGCACAGAGGGCAGAGCAUCACUACUUAUUUUGGUGAGACUGAUAAAGUCAGAUGUAUCUUGGGCACAAAGUAACUAUAAUUUUGUUUGAUUUUAUCUAAAUUCAAGAUAAAGCAGUAUUCUUUUUUUUUAUUUAAUUAUGGAAACACCUUGCUUUGGGAUCUAUAAAAAUAUCUAAAUUCAACUUCGAAACAACCAAAUAGUUUAAUUAAAUUCCUAGAAUUGUAGAGUGAUACAAGAAGUGGGAUGUUGAACUAAAAAGCUACAUCAAAUUCUGAUUUUGGAAAAGAAAGCAAUGUAAUAUUUUGGUUGCAUCUUUCAGGUGACUAUAAAAUGUUGACUUAAACAUUGACAAAUUACAAUUAAAUAUUACCUAGGAAAAUUGCUGUUUUAAUUAUAUUGACUUAGACAUCUCACUCAAGUUGAUUGUGAAACUACCUUUUUAUUAUCUAGGAAUCUUUCAUAUAUGUUGUAGGAGUUUUGUUAAAUAUCCGCAUAGAUCUUUGUAAUGUUUAGUCACUUUUUUCCCUUGAUGUUUUAUUUUCUGACACAGCUUCAAAUUCUGCAUUUGAAUCUUGAAUACUUCUCUCGUGACCUUUAGUUUUCUGAUCACGAGAGCUCAUGAAGUGCUGGGUAAAAUUAAUGAAAAAUGACCUUAAAUCUUGAAUUUCAAGUAUUAAUAAAGAAAUAUUCUUCCAACUUUUAUAAAAAGUCAAUGCCUAUUAAUGAUAAAAAUUUCUCUGUAAACUAGUAUUUAAAUAGAACUUGCUUAACCCAAUAAAGUCAUCUAUAAAAAAGCUUACAGUUAAUAUUUUAUUUAAUGGCAAAAUGAAAUACUUUGCCUAAGAUCAAAAUAGGGAAGGAUGCCCAUUGUCAUCACUUCUCUUCCACAUUAUAUCAAAGUCCUAGCCAGUACAAUAAGGAGAAAGAAAUAAACUCAUGUAAAUUUGAAAAGAAGAAAUAAAACAUUUUAUUUGUAGAUGAUAUGAUCAUGUAUGAAGAAAACUCUAUGGAACCCACAAAAAAACUCUUGGAAAUAAUAAGUGAAUUUAGUCAAAUUGCAAGAUCCAAGAUUGAUAUAAAAUAGUCAAUUGAAUUGUUAUAUACUGGCAGCUAACAAUUGGAAAACAAUACUUGAAAAAUAAUACCAUUUGCGAUACAGUAAAAAAAAUCAAAUAUCUGAAAACAAGUUUAAUAAAAAAUGUGCAAGACCCUACACUAAAAUUUAUACAAUGUUACUUGGAGAAACUUUAAAAGAUCUAAAUUGAUAGAUAAAUAUCACGUCUGUAAAUUGUUAGACUCAGUAUUGUUAAGAAGACCAAACUGAUCUAUAUGUUCAACUCAAUCUCAAUCAUAGUCUCAACAUACUUUUUUGGAGAAAUGAUAAAUUCUAAAACUUCUGAAGAAAUUGAUAAAUUCUAAAAUUGAAAUUGAAAUUCAAAGAAUCUAGCAUAGCCAAAGCAAUCUUGGAAAAGAAUAAAGUGUAAAGACUUAUGCUACCUUAUUUUAGGAUUUAUUUUACAGCUAUAAUAAUUAAGACACUGAGGUGAUGGGGUAAAGAUAGAUUAAAUAGGUCAAGAAAACUGAACAGAGCUCAGAAAUAGACUCAUGUAUAUACAGUAAAUUGCUUUUCCAUCAAGCACCCAGUCAGUGGGAAAUUCAUUAGAGGAAAGGAAUCUUUUUAAGAAAUGGCAAUGGAACAAUUCACUAUUCUUUUGGAAAAGGUGACCCUUAGCUCCCUACUUCACACCAUAAAUAAAAUCUAAUUUGAGACAAAUAACAAUAAAAGCUAGAACCAUAAAAUGUCUACAGAAACCUCAAGAAAAUAUCUUUGUGAUCUUGAGGUAGCCAAUGAUUUUUUAGAGGGGAUACAAAAGCACGAAUUUUAAAAGAACACAAUUCAUAAAAUAAACUUUAUCAAAAUUAAUAAUCUACUUAUUAGAAGAUAUCAUCAACCCCCCAUAUCCCAAGAAAACAAAAAAGAACUGAGAAGUGAACCAUGAAUUGGGAGAAAAUAUUCACGAUGCUUAUAUUUGACAAGAUUCACAUCUAGAAUAGAUAAAGAUUUCCUACAAAUUGACAAUAAAAAUCAAAUCCAUAAAAAAUGGGCAAAAGAUUUGAACAAGAACUUCAAAAAGAAAAUAACUGAAUGAUAAAAAUUAAACACAUAAAAAUGGAUUCAACAUCAUAGUACUCAAGAAAAUGCAAUUGAAAACCACAAGAUAACAUUCCAUACCCACUAGAAUGGCUAAAAUAAACAAUGUCUGGCAAUUUUCAAAGUUAGUAAGGUUAUGGAGCAACUGGAAUCAGAUCAGUGCUAUUGUGAAAUGAGUUUCAAUUUCUGUUCAUGUUAAAUUCUAUUCAAAGUGAUUUGAUUUAUGUGAUAAAAUUGUUUCUGGAAAAUGUUAUUCAUCCAUGCAAUUACCCAACAAUUAUGUAUUUAUAGUUCAUAAUGGGUGAAACAAAGUUGUUCGUACCUUCAAAGAGCAUGUAGACAAGUUUGCAAAUUAAAGCCUUGUUAAGUCAGCCACUAUAUAGUUACUGUUGUUUAUCACAUUUUCUUGAAUCCCAAACACAUGUAUUGUCUUACAACCAAUUUCAAAAUAAAUCUGACAACUGAUUGAUCUUCUUACCAAGGACUUUUUAUUAAAUCAAUGGUACAUUUUACAGUUGAGGAAAUGCAUUAAAUACAUAUAGCUAUUAUAUUCAAAUCAGCCAGCUGUUCUGUCUGGAGGAAGUACAUUUUAAACAUGAAAAGAAAAGGGUAAAAGCAAUGACUAUCUCCUAAUUGAAAAAAAAAUCAUAGGAGGUUAUAGACUCUCAUUUUAUUUAUUUUGUGGAUUGGGAGAAGGGUUGGUUCUAAUUUCUGUCACAGACUGAAAGCAGAGCCUUUAAGGGAUUUGGCGAAGGGGUUAAGAGUUGGACUGUGGGGUCAGACAGACCCCUGUACUGAUCUUUUAUUUACCAAGUACUUCAAUGACUUAAAUGCAGGAUAAUUGCUUACCCUCUGUGGGCCUCAGUUUCCUUCUGUAUAAUGAUGCCAGACUUAAUGGGCAGUGGUGAGGUUAAAUGAGUUUCAUUUAAAAGGUGUUCAAGACAGUGCUUCACAUAUUGUAGGUAUUCACUAAAUUGCAGCUCAUAUUAUUAACUAAAAUCCUUCUUCUGAUAAGAAUCAGAGUUGUAGCCCCCAAUUCUAAAGAAGGUUGGGGUACUAUCUCUUUCUAAUCUUUGCCAAUUUUAUAGGCAAAAAUAUCUUGCAUUUAAAAAAAUUAAAUCCAUGAACAUUCAAAUCCUCUUUUAUGUUUCCCAAUAAAAUUUUAUAGAAAAUGGGAAAAUUGUUACUUAAUUCCUUCCCUUAGGGUUAAGGAAAAUGGAGCACCUCAGGUUCUGAGGUUUCAAUUCCUGUUAUGGCCAAUAAACAUAAAAAUAGGUUUCACUUUGCCUAUAGUACAUGUCAUUAGUUCUUUGGGUUUUAUUUUAUUGUUGGUUGGGGCUGCGGUACUCAGGUUACUUUUGGCUUAGUAAUAAGGUAGCAUACUGGACAUUUUUACAAGAUAAGUGUAAAUAUAGUACUUUAACAUGUAGUAAUCCCAAGUUUCUGUUUAUAUCUCAAAACAGUCAUUGUUUUUAAAAAGUUAUUUAUUUCAGAAGAAAAAUAUUUUCAUUACAAGCCCUUUUAUUCUUUGAUUCUUUUGUAUUUUUAAAUAUAUCAUAGUGGUACAUAUUUUUGGGUUACAUAUAAUAUUUUCAUACAUAUAAUAUUUUCAUACAUAUAUACAAUGAGUAAUGAUCAAAUCUGGGUAAUUGAGAUAUACAUCACCUCAAACAUUUAUCUUUUCUUUGUGUUGGAAACAUUAUAAUUUCUUCUUUUUUAGCUAUUUUGAAAUAUACAAUAGAUUAUUAACUAUAAUUUUCCUACUGUACUAUCAAAUACUAGAAUUUGUUUUUUCUAACUGCGUUUUUGUACCCAUUAACUAGCUUCACUUCAUCUACCCGCUUUCCCCUUUUCCUUCUGAUGUGGUUUGGCUCUGUGUUCCAACCCAAAUCACAUCUUGAAUUGUAAUCCCCACAUGUCAGGGGAGGGACCAGGUGGGAGGUGAUUGGAUAAUGGGGGCUGUUUCUCCCAUGCUGUUCUCGAGAUAGGGAGUGAGUUCUCAUGAGAGCUGAUGGUUUUAAAGAGGGGCACUUCAUUGUUCUUGCACACACUCCCUCUUGAUGCAUUGUGAAGAAGGUACCUGCUUCCCCUUCACCUUCCACCAUGACUGUAAGUUUCCUGAGGCCUCCCAUCCAUGCUUUCUGUUAAGCCUGCAGAACUACGAGUCAAUUAAACCUCCUUCCUUUAUAAUUACCCAGUCUCAGGUAGUAUUCUUUAUAGCAGUGUGAUAAUGGACGAAUACACCUUCCCAGCCUCUGUUUACCAUGAUUUCAGUCUCCACCUCCAUGAGAUCUACUUUUUAAACUCCCACCUAUGAGUGAGAACAUGUAAUAUUUGACUUUCUGUGCCUGGUUUAUUUCACCUGACAUUAUGACCCACAGUUCCCUCCAUGUUGCUAAAAAUGACAGGAUUUCAUUCUUUUUUAUGACUAAAUAAUAUCCUAUUGUGUCUACAUACCACAUUUUCUUAAUGCAUUCAUCCACUGAUGGACACUUAGGAAGAGUCCAUAUUUUUGCUAAUGUAAAUAGUGCUGCAAUAGACACAGGAGUGCAGAUAUCUCUUCAACAUACUUAUUUCCUUUCUUUUGAAUAUAUACCUAGCAGUGCUGGAUCAUAGGAUAGUUCUAUUUUUAAUUAUUUGAGGAACCUCCAUACUGUUUUCCAUGAUGGCUGUACUACUUUACAUUCACACCAUCCACUGUAUGACCAUUAACUUUUCUCUACAUCCUCACCAGCAUUUGUUAUUUUUUUUGCCUUUUUGAUAGUAGCCAUUUUAACUGAGGUGUGAUGAUAUCUCCUUAUGGUUUUGAUUUGCAUUUUCUUUAUGACUAGUCAUGUUGAGCACUUUUUCAUAUACUUGUUGGCCAUUUAUAUGUCUUCUUUUGAGAAAUGUCUAUUCAGAUCUUUUGUGUAUUUUAAAAUCAGAUUACUAGUUUUUUUUCUUUUUAGCUAUUGAAUUGAGUUCCUCAUAUAUUCUGGUUAUUAACCCCUUGAUAGAUAGCUAGCUUACAAACAUUUUCUCCGAUUCUAUAAGCUAUCUCUUCAUUAUGUUAGUUAUUUCCCUUGUUGUUCAGGAGAUUUUAGCUUGAUGUAAUCCUACUUGUCUUUUUUUUUUUUUUUUUUUGCUUUUGUAGCUGUGCUUUUGAGAUCUUGCCCUGCCCUCAAAAUCUUUGCCUAGCAUUUCCCCAAUGUUUUCUUUUAAUCAUAUUAUAGUUUCAGGUCUUACAUUUAAAUCUUUAAUCUAAUUUGUGUUGAUUUUUGUAUAUUGUAUAAGAUGGGUAUUUAGUUCCUUCUUCUGCAUGUAGAUAUCUAAUUUUCCCAGAACCAUUUAUUAAAGAAACUGUAUUUUCUACAAUGUAUGUUCUUGGUACUUUUGUCAAAAAUGAGUUGUCUAUAAGUGUACGAUGUAUCUCUGGGUUCUCUAAUCUGUUCCAUUGUUUUAUGUGUCUGUUUUUAUGCCAGCACCAUGCUGUUUUGGUUAUUACAGCUUUGUAAUAUAAUUUGAAAACAGGUAGUGUGAUUAUUCCAGCUUUGUUCUUUUUCCUCAGAAUUGCUUUUUUAUUUGGAUUCUUCUGUGGUUCUGUACUGUAUGAAUUUUAGAAGUUUUUUUCUAUUUCUGUGAUGACUUUCAUUGGUAAUUUGACAAAAAUUGUACUGAAUCUGUAGACUAUUUUGAGAAGUAUAGACAUUUUAACAGUAUUAAUUAUCCCAAUCCAUGAACACAGGAUAUCUUUCCAUAUUUUGGUGUCCUCUAAUUUCUUUCAUCAGUGUUUUAUAGCUUUUCUUGAAGAGACCUUUCACUUAUCUGGUUAAAUGUAUUCCUAGGCAUUGUAUUUUUUAUAGCUAUCACAAAUGAGAUUGCUUUCUUAAUUUUUUUUCAGAUUAAUCAUAGUUAACAAAUAGAAACUAUUGAUUUUUGUAUGUUGAUUUCGUAUCUUGCAAUUUUACUAAAAUGGGUUAGCAAUUCUAAGAGUUUUUUGGUGAAGGCUUUAGGUUUUUAUAAAUAUAAGAUCAUGUCUUAUGCAAACAAGAAUGAUUUGACUUCUUUCUUUCCCAUUUGAAUGCCUUCUUUUCCUUUCUCUUGCCUAACUGCUCUUGGCUAAGACUUCUAGUACUACAUUGAAUAAAAGUGUUGAAAGUGGGCAUCCUUGUCUUUUUUGAGAUCUUACUUAAAAGGCUCUCAGUUUUUCCCUUUUCAGUAUGAGAUUAGCUGUGGGAUUGUCAUAUAUGGCUUUCAUUGGGUUGAGGUAUGCUCCUUUUAUAUCCAAUUUGUCAAAAGUUUUUAUUGUAAAGGGAUGUUGAGUUUUAUCAAAUAAUUUUUCAAUAUCAACAUAAUGAUCAUAUGUUUUUUUGCCCUUGUUUCUGUUGAUAUGAUGUAUCAUGUUUAUUGAUUUGAUUAUGUUGAACCAUGCUUGCAUCCCUGGGAGAAAUCCCACUUGAUCAUGGUAAAUUAUCUCAUUAAUGUGUUUGCUAAUAUUUUGUUGAGAAUUUUUGGAUCUACAUUUAUCAGGUAUAUUGGCGUAUAGUUUUAUUUUUGUUUGUAUGUCCUUGUCUUGUUUUUGUGUAGCAUAAUGCAUGCCUUGUAGAAUGUGUUUGUGAGUAUUCCCUCCUCUUCAACUUUUUUUUGAAAUAGGUUAGUAGAAUUGGUAUUAGUUCUUUCUUAAAUGCCUGGUAAAAUUCAGCAGUGAAUUCGUCAUGUUCUGGGCUUUCUUUGAUGGGAGACUUUUUAUUACUACUUCAGUCUCAUUACUCAAUAUUGGUCUGGUUAGGUUUUUCCAUUUUCUUCCUGGUUUAAUCCUGGUAGGUUGUAUUUUUUACAUUUAUUUUAGGUUUUCCAAUUUAUUGACAUCUAGCUGUUUAUUAUAGUCUCUAAUGAUCCUUUGUAUUUCUAUGGUAACUGUUGUAAUGUUUCCUUUUUCAUCUCUGAUUUUAUGUAUUUGGGUCUUCUCUCUUUUUUCUUAGUCUAACUAAAGGUUUAUUAUUUUGUUUAUAUUUUUUAAGUGUCAUUUUUAUUUAUUUCUGCUCUGAUCUCUAAUAUUUCUUUCCUUCUACUAACCAUUAUUUGCUUUAUUCUUGCUUUUCUAGUUCUUUUAAGUGCAUUGUUAGGUUAUUUAAGAGGAGCGUUUCUGUAUUUUUUUUUUUUUUUUUUUUUUUUGAGACACAGUCUCACUCUGUCACCCAGGCUGGAGUGCAGGCAAUCCUGGCUCACUGCAAGCUUCGCCUCCCAGGUUCACGCCAUUCUCCUGCCUCAGCCUCCCGAGUAGCUGGGACCACAGGAGCCCGCCACCACGCCUGGCUAAUUUUUUCUAUUUUUUAGUAGAGACGGGGUUUCACCAUUCUAGCCAGGAUGUUCUUGAUCUCCUGACCUCGUGAUCCGCCCGCCUCAGCCUCCCAAAGUGCUGGCGUGAGUCACCAUGCCCGGCCGCGUUUCUGUGUUUUUGAUGUAGACCUCCAUCACUAUAAUAUUUCCUCUUAGUGCCCCUUUUGCUGUAUUUCAUGGUACAGUAUGUUGUGUUUCAUUUGAAUUUUAUUCAAAAAAUUUAAAUUUUCCUUAUAAUUUCUUCAUUGACCCAUUAGAUGUUCAGGAACAUGUUGUUUAAUUUCCAUGUGUUUGUAUUAUUUCCAAAGUUCCUCUAGCUUUUUAGUUUUAUUCUUUUGUGGUCAGAAAAGAUACUUCAUAUGGUUUAGACUUUAAAAAAUUUGUUGAGACUUGCUUUUUGACCUAAUAUAUGGUCCAUCCUGGAGAAUGUUCCAUGUGCUGAAGAGAAGUUGGAUGAAGUGGUCUGUAAAUGUAUGUUAGGUCUAUUUGAUCUAGAGUAUAGUUUAACUCUGAUGUUUGUGGAUUUUCUGCAUAAGUGUUCUGUCCAUUCCAUUGCUUAAGAUGGGGUAUUGAAGUCCCCUACUAUUAUUAUAUUGCAGCCUAUCUCUCCCUUUAGAUCUCUUAAUAUGUGCUUUAUAUGUUUGAGUUCUUCGGUAUUGGAUGAAUACAUGUUUAUUCUCCUCUUUGUGCUCCUUUCCAUUUCACUGAUGGUACACACUACUGACCAUUUAUAUGACAAUUAUUUCUUUAUGAAGUUGUUUCUCCUUGUGCACUCAACAAGACCUUAUUAAUUUCGCGCCCUAAUGUUCACUGAUUCACAGAUACAUUAAUACAAUCUUAUUGUAAUGGUUUUAGAACUUAGAAUGGACUACCAAACUUUGGAACUGCUCUAAAUGACUUUAAAAACUCAGAUAGUUCUUAACUCUCUGGGCAUAUUUAGUUCCAAAUAUCGGUGGGGGCAUUAACUAGGCAACUUUUCACUGUCCCUUUCAACUUUGUGAAUCAACAUUAACAAACUUAUUUGCUUUGUUUUCAAAAGAGUAGAAAUAUACUUCAUACCAAGUCUUCAAAACUUUAGUUAUUAGAAAGAAUUUAAGCAUAGUCAUAGAGCAUUGGUCCUAAUUUACCUAUCACCUGCAGUACUUAAAAACUAGGUUGGGCAUAGUAGCUCAUGCCUUUAAUCUCAGCCCUUUGGGAGGCUGAGGAGGGAGGAUUACUUGAGCCCAAGAGUUUGAGAUCAGCCCGAGCAACAUAGUGAGACCCUAUCUCUAUAAAAAAUAAAAAAAAUUAGCUGGGUGUGGUGGCAUGCCCCUGUUGUCCCAGCUACUCAGGAGGCUGACGCAGGAGGAUUGCUUGAAACCAGGAGUUUGAGGGUGCAAUGAACUGUGAUUGUACCAUUGUAUUCUAGCCUGGGAGGCAGAGUGAGACCCUGUUAUAAAAGUUAUUGGUAAAAAUUAAUUACUUUAUGAUUCAGAUAAUUCAGAUUACACAAAGCUUCAACAGCAGGCUUUUGGAACAAUGUGUUUCCUCUUUUAAAAGGCAUGUUUUUAUUUUCAAUGGAAGCAAAAGAUUCUUAGUGAACAUUUAGUAAAAGUAUAUUUAAAUCAUGAUGAAAAUAAGAUAAAUGAGUCGUAAGCAAUAUGAAUAUAAUCUCUGCUUGUCUUAUGUUCACACAUAAAUUGCUGUCUUGCCUUUAUCCAAAUAUUUUCAGUGAUAAUCUCAUAUAUUAAGUAUUUUGGCAGUUUUUUAAUCAUCUUGUGUUUAUUAUUACAGACUUUGGAACAAAAUUUAAAUAGAAAUAAAUAAAAGGAAAAGUGUAAAAACCAUUCACAGAUGUAAACAUUCUGGCAUUUUUCUGUCUGGGCUUUAAAAAUAUGUAUUUCUGGAAACAUUGUUGUUUAUUCAGUGUACAUCCCUGACUUCCUUUAUCCUUCCUUACAGAAUCUCAAGUAUGUUCAGGCAUCUUACCCCUUCCCAUAGUCAUGUACUUUGGAGGGAGAGGCUGACCCCUUCAUCAGCCCUGGGGGUGACUCUUGAUUGGUCUAAACCAAUCAUGGUUGUUUCCCUUAUUUGGGAUUGGCUUAGGCAGGUGAUGCAAUUCUGACCAAUGAGACAUGAAGGGAAGUCAGCUUCGUGGCUCAGGGAAAGGAUUCACUGUUUUAAGAGAUACACACAGGAAGAGAUGGCCUCUUUCUUUCUUUCUUUGGAUAUUUUCAUGUCUCUGUGUGGUUUGCAAGUAAAGUUAUCAUCUUGUGGCUAUGAGGGCUGCUGGGCUAGCUUGAGAGAAAAUUAUUUGCACUAAGAAUGGCAAAUCAGGAAGCUACAAGUAACUUGAAUCCUUGAUGACAUCAUUAGGUUGCUGAAUUAACCAACCUUAGAACUGUUUAUCUCUGCUCAUAUGGCUCAGUGAGAUAAAAUACUUUGUUAUUUAAGCCAAUGGUUUUCAAACUUCAUGCUAGUACCCUGGAAAGUCAAAAACUAUCCAGGUGGUAAAUAGGUAUAAAUAGCUUUAAAGAAAUCAAUUUCCAGAUCCUCAACUUCUACAAGUACUCUGUACUAAAAUUGAUUGACCUUUGGAAAACACACGAAACAAGGAGGUUGUGGCAGUUCUCAUUUCCCACCUCUUUCAUAAUCGCUUCUUUUACGCUUUACACAGGAAAGAUCUACCACUCACUUAUUCUGUUUCACUAAGGUUUAUCACCUAAGUUGUAAAAUAACAUCAAGAAAGCUCCCUUAAUUGGGGCAUCAAAAUCAAUCCCUCAUCUAUCUGAUUAACAAUAUUAUUUUCAAUAAAAAUUUUCUUUUUAUUAAUAAUUUUUAAUAAUUUACAACUUUUUGGCAGUUUGACUAAUUCUUUAAUAGUAUUUGACAUAACUAGAAGAUAUUUUGAUUACUUGGAGUUUUAUGAUACUAGAAAAUUAAUUUUUAAAUUUAAAAUUAAAAAAUAUUUUUAUUGCACAGAAGUGUGACAGAAUAUCUGUAAAGGAUUUUCAAGCGUAAAAGUACAUACUUCAUUAGAAUAGCUGUGAGGAAGGUAUAAUGGAAGUACAAGUUCAAGGAAGAAAAGGAAUACCUAUUAAAUAAGACCUUUUAAGUUUCAUUUAAAAAUUCAUGACAAUGGGCAUAAAACUGUAAUGCCAUUAAAUUUCCAUUGUUAAAUUCAAAACUGGGAAUUAAAAUUUUUUUUAAAAAACAAGGUUUAUGAUUUUCUGAUAUUAUCUACCUCACAAAUAUUUAAACUUAUGAGAAAAAAUUUUAGAUAUCAACUUAAAAUGAGAAGAUACAUAGUUUCUCAAAAAAAAUGAGAAGAUACACUAGCCCCAAAAUUUUGAAGUUCACUGUGUAAACUAUUUUGAAUUGAGUUUUUGAUGCCUAAAGCAUUCAUCUAUCAUCUGUCUGUCUGUUGUCUAUUUAUUCUUACCUAUUUAUCAACUUUACAUGUAUUUAAUUUAACACACAUUAAAGUUGAAUGAUUCUGGUCACUCCCUCUGCAGUUGCUUGUGUUUCUACUUCUUCUGCUUUAUCUGGCCAGUUAUUGCUCCUUACCACUUACCACUUACCAGUUUCCAAUAUCUGUUGACUUCUCUAGCUGGUCGUCAUUUCCUUUCCCUUUUGCUUCGUCUUUUAGGAUUUAUGCCUUAGAAAAAAAUUUUUUCUGUAAUUUCAAUGGGAUUUCAGGUUGAAACAAAUAUAAGUGAAUUGUUCAGUCUUCCAUGUUUUAUCCAGAGGCUGAUAAUCUCUUUCCUAACAUAUUUUUAACUUAAUCAUAUAAUAGGAACAUUUUCCCAUGUUGUUAAAUAUCCUUGAUCAUUACACAUUUUAAAAGCUACAUACUAUUUCACUUUAUGGGAGGUUAUUAGUGCAAUUUCUGAUGGCCAGUUCAAUCCAUAAAAGAUUUCUGUAUAUUCCUCAGAUUCCUUAUCUUUUAUUUUCACUACGUAUUAUACAUUAUAUAUCUGCAUUGUACAAAGCAGACUUGUUCUUCUUCCUUUCCUUCCACAUAAAUCAGCUUUGUUAUAUCAUUGACAAGAUCAUCUAAGAGAUAGGAAUGCAAUAAGGACACAAAUAUGGAGGUUUUCUUAUUUUGGCUUUGUUCCUUUGAGUGUCAUAUCCCACCACUUUUGUGCAGCUAAAGCUAUCACAAUCCUGAUCCCCAGCUGCCCUCAGCUCUCCCAAGGUGAAAGCUGAUAAAAUCCAAGAGGCAGUGAGGGACCAAAGGAAAACAUGAACACAAAGGACAUAUACCAUCUAACAAAAAGACCUCUCAUAACUAGUAGACCCUUUCUUAUCCAGGUGAGAAGAAAUAAUAAAAGCUCCUUAUCAGUCAACUUGAUCUGGAGUGGAAAGAAUGAAUGUAGUCUUUGAAACAGCUUAAUAAAGUAGAAUGGACUCGGUGGGAACAUUUUAGACAUAGCUUACAUUCUACUCUUAACCUUUCAGGACACAGUCACUGCCCUCUGUCAAUUACUGCCAUCUCUUUACUGACAAGCCUGAUGGGUUAUAAGUCCAAGAAUCUUCCAGAUGCAUGACAAAAAAAUAAAUCUCUAACACUGGUGUGGUACUUCUGGUGGCAGAAACUUAGGGUCAGAAAUGGAGGAAACCAUUGUAGGGAAAAAACAAGCAUAAGAACUACUGUCUAUCAAACAAAUUUGUCAUUGUGUUUAUUCUUGUAUAGAAUAUAUAUAAGAGUGUUUUCCUUUUUUAAAGGUAAUUUUAAAUGGGUCUUCAUGAAAGCUAAGAGAGUUUGAUUUCUUCUGUCUCUCUAUUUCCAUAUCUUAUUUUCAGAUAAAUCUUCUGAUGGAUUCCCACCUGAACCUGAUCCUAAUUCCAGAAACACAAAGCCUGGAUUCUUUGUGUUCACUACAUUUAUUCUGUCUUUCCAUGAGCUAAGGCUGUAAAUCCCACAGUGAAGCAUGCAUAAACACCAACUAGACGGGAUUAGACCACACUAUUUAGUUAAUCUCAGUUUACAAAAGCUCUUCUUUCUUUGUCUGAAAGGCUGCCACAGAAAUCCAGCAAACGUGAGAAUGUCUUGCACUAUGGGUAGUGAGAGGGUAAAAAUAACUGCUUGCCUUCAUGAGCCCUCUCUCUCUUUGAGAAACUCUAUGUAUAUUUUCAGGGUGAAGGAUUUCUACUGUAAAUGCUUCAAAUCAUCAUCAUGGGGGAGAAGAGCACAGCAGUAUUUCCUUCCAAAAUGUAAGCAGCACAACCUUCCAAGAACCUUGAUGUGUAGUUAAAACGACCAUGAAGGGAGCCUCCCCUGAUCUCUGUCCUCCAAUUUAUUGCUCUCUCUCAUGUUUGAAAGGUUUGUUUUGGAUCCAGUGACAAUAAUACUGGUAGGACUAUAACUAAAGUACUUUGAGUCCUAGGAGGAGGAACAAAGAAUGUUUUUCUAUAAUAUGUUAACAUAACUGGACAUCCAUUAAAUAAUUGGUGUGUAGCUGGAAGUAAAAAUGGCUUAAACAGAGAAAAGUUUCUAUAACAGCUGUGAACACAAAGCCAACAAAGGACUUGAGGGACAAACACUUCUAAUAUGCUCGCAGAAUCACCUGAUGUCAUGAGCACCUGCUUUAUACAAAAACCACUGUGGCAGAAGCAUCUAUGUGUAUACUUAGGGUAACAAACAUUCCAUUUCAAUUUUGAAUUUAAAUAAAAGAUGCUCUAGUCUGUUUUUUUCUUCCAAUCUCAGGCUCAGGCUCUGCAGACAUCUCUUUGAAUCUCCCAAAAGAUCAUGUUUGCUUUGGUCGAAGAUUAGAUAUUCACCCCAGUGUUCACAUACUUUGUCCUCCCAAGCUGGAACAACUUGAGCUUUCAGAGUCCAAAUGUGUUAGACUCAUCCAGGGCUCUUGAAGUCAGUAUUCAAAUGCUAGCACUAUAAAUUAUAGAAUUUAGUUUGUCACAAAUUAAAACUUUAUUUCAGUGAAAACAGUGACUGUCACUUGUAUAUAUUUGGUCACUGUAAAUCUGCUGUAAACCAAAAGAGAAACUAAAACUAGCAAAGGGUGGUGAUGGUGGCAGCGGUAGUGGCAGAGGGACAUGCUAAUGUAUGUCUUGAAGUCUGUUUUCCUAGAAUCCCAAGCUACAUUGGUUGGUAAUAAAUAAUGUGGUUAAAGAAGGCAGAUUCUAAGAUAGAAUUUUGGACCUGGAUCACCUGUAGCCUGCCUAGCAAUGAAGACCUCAUCAGUGGUGAUAGAUGGAGAACAGAUACACCUUGGAACCAGGUAGUGAUCUAACUUAACAUUUUUCACUAAUGUUACGCUAAGAUGGAAUACUAAUGAAAUGCAAUGCACUGAUGGGUAACAUGUAUAAGGUGGUUGAGAAACAAUAUAGGGUGUCCAGAGAUAAGAGCAAUCAGCUAAGGGAGGAAUGGGACUAGAUAAUGAAGAAGCUGCAGGGCCUAACCAACUUGUAAGGGCAGGGGUCAUGAGAGUAUAAAUGGGACAGAAUUCUGAAGGUGCUAGAUUCAGAAAACAGAGAAGAACAGAAAGUUAGACAAGAAAGAGUUUAUCAAGUUGGAAAUACUCUCCCAGUGGAGGAUUUUACAUCCUGACAAAGAUCCUCGAAGAUAUCCAAAACAGGUUUUGAGGAUGGCUCCUGGAAGCUUGAAGAAAGCAAUGGCCACAUCAAAUGAAGUAGGAAAGAUACAUUGGGUGCAAGGCUAUCAUUACCAUAACAUUCUCUGGCCUUAGCAUUUACCUACUUCUCAUCUAGAAAAUGCCACCGUUAUUUUAAAAUACAAAGUCAGAAGUUAAAAAUAACUCAAUAUCUUAAUCUCUGGAGUUUAUACCUAGUUAUGAAUUCACUGCUAAGCAACGUGUGAUAAAAUACUAGUCUUUAGUGUUUAAAUCUCCAUCCUAGUCCAACAUGCAUUCAUUAUUAUUAUUAUGUUUUUGAGACGGAGUCUUGCUCUGUCGCCCAGGCUGGAAGUGCAGUGGCACAAUCUCGGCUCACUGCAAGCUCCGCCUCUUGGGUUCACGACAUUCUCCUGCCUCAGCCUCCCAAGUAGCUGGGACUACAGGCGCCUACCACCACGCCUGGCUAAUUUUUUUAUUUUUAGUAGAGACAGGUUUUCACCGUGUUAGCCAGGAUGGUUUCAAUCUCCUGACCUUGUGAUCCGCCUGCCUUAGCCUCCCAAAGUGCUGGGAUUACAGGCGUGACCCACCGCGCCCGGCCCGACAUGCAUUUAUAAAUAAAGGCUGACUCAUCAUUGGCCUGUCCUGAUUUCUCUGACUAGGAGAAGUAGUUCUUUCUAUGGAGGCAAUGAUUUUUAGAUAAGGGUGCAAAUAUUUUUGAAGCAUUUAGAAUAGGGGGUGUUUAGACAAAGGCUGUGCAGAUCUGUCUGCUAACAUGGCUUUAAAUGCAAAUUUGAGUGACAAUCCAAAGCGUACUCCCUGCCAAUAUCAUAUUCCAUAUGAAAUCUUGGCAUCUUUAACAAAUGAUAUGUUUAUUGAUUCAGUCUCCUUGGUUACUGCAUGGUCCAUGGAGAAGUGCUUUGAUGUAUCUGGAAUAGCCAUGAUAGUGCUUCGGAAACAGUUUUGAAUAUUGGCCAUUGAUUUUAAACAAUAAAUGUUACAUUUGAAAUUUGUUUCUGCUCAUAGAAAGAAAAUCCAAAUAGAAAAAAAAUUGACACAGAUUUAAUUCUACAUCACUCUUUGGACAAAUUGCUUUCCUUAGAUAGAACAAAGGUGUGAAAGUUGGCAGUUAUAUGGAACACAAUCUUUCAUUUGUAUAUCCUGCAUGCUGCCUGUUUUAUCCUACAUACUCCAUAUGGGACCAUUGCCUUCCAAGAACUGGACAGCAUUUCCACAGAUGUCCCUCCUGUGGAUUGAUCCGGAUCCUAUCAAUUACACAAUGGACACAUUAAAUUAUAGAAUAAGCCUGCUGUCCUGUUUUUGUGCAAAUGAUAUUUCACAGAGCCCUCUAUCCUUCUCCACUCAUCCACUUCUUCAGGCAUUUGACAUUGAUGGUUUAUAUCUUGGUUCUGCUCUUCUUAUUCCUUUUUUUCUUUUCUGCUCUUCUCCUAUAUUUUUUCCUUACAUUCUCUCUUUAUUUUUAUUUUCCUCUAAAUUAUUUGUCUACUCCUUCAUUCUCCUCAUUUUCUCUAAUAUUUAUUUUUCACCUGACUCAAUUACUUCUUUUUGGCCUCUGAUCAUUAAAAUCCAAUUCAGAGUACUUUUAUAUUCUUCAUUGAAUUGUGUGGAAUGUAUCUGUGGAAACUGCUAGCCUGUUCAAUGGUGCGUUAUUCUACUGUAUUAAAUUAUAAUUAUGACUGCUUCACGUUCCCCUGCACCAUUAAUUUAAUACCAUAUAUGUCUAGUCUUACUUAUUUUUAUGUUUGUAUUCUCCAGAGUCCACCACGGAGAAGAUGCCCUAUACGUGUAUGUAAAAUGCUGAAUUAAAUAACAUUGUUUAACCAUUUUGCCAGCCACAGAAAUAAACUAACUUAAACUCA